rnacentral:lncRNA from 1 species
GGAACAUCCUUAAAAAGAAAGAACGCACCGGUGAGCUCAGCAACACCAAAAGACCCGGAAGACCACGGAAAACAACUGUGGUGGAUGACUGAAGAAUUCUUUCCCUGGUGAAGAAAACACCCUUCACAACAGUUGGCCAGAUCAAGAACACUCUCCAGGAGGUAGGUGUAUGUGUGUCAAAGUCAACAAUCAAGAGAAGACUUCACCAGAGUGAAUACAGAGGGUUCACCACAAGAUGUAAACCAUUGGUGAGCCUCAAAAACAGGAAGGCCAGAUUAGAGUUUGCCAAACAACAUCUAAAAAAUGCCUUCACAGUUCUGGAACAACAUCCUAUUCACAUAUGAGACCAAGAUCAACUUGUAUCAGAGUGAUGGGAAGAGAAGAGUAUGGAGAAGGAAAGGAACUGCUCAUGAUCCAAAGCAUACCACCUCAUCAGUGAAGCAUGGUGGUGGUAGUGUCAUGGCGUGGGCAUGUAUGGCUGCCAAUGGAACUGGUUCUCUUGUAUUUAUUGAUGAUGUGACUGCUGAAAAAAGCAGCAGGAUGAAUUCUGAAGUGUUUCGGGCAAUAUUAUCUGCUCAUAUUCAGCCAAAUGCUUCAGAACUCAUUGGACGGCGCUUCACAGUGCAGAUGGACACUGACCCAAAGCAUACUGCAAAAGCAACCAAAGAGUUUUUUAAGGGAAAGAAGUGGAAUGUUAUGCAAUGGCCAAGUCAAUCACCUGACCUGAAUCCGAUUGAGCAUGCUUUUCACUUGAUAAAGACAAAACUGAAGGGAAAAUGACCCAAGAACAAUCAGGAACUGAAGACAGUUGCAGUAGAGGCUUGGCAGGGCAUUACCAGGGAUGAAACCCAGCGUCUGGUGAUGUCUAUGCGUUCCAGACUUCAGGCUGUAAUUGACUGCAAAGGAUUUGCAACCAUGUAUUAAAAAGUGAAAGUUUGAUUUAUGACUAUUAAUCUGUCCCAUUACUUUUGGUCCCUUAAAAAGUGGGAGGCACAUAUACAAACUGUUGUAAUUCCUACACCGUUCACCUGAUUUGAAUGUAAAUACCCUCAAAUUAAAGCUAAAAGUCUGCAGUUAAAGCACAUCUUGUUUGUUUUAUUUCAAACUCAUUGUGUUGGUGUAUGGAGCCAAAAAGAUUAGAAUUGUGUCGAUGUCCCAAUAUUUAUGGACCUGACUGUAUGCAUUACAGAUACACAAGUAGAUUUAUUUUGGAGGUAAUAAAUAUAAUUUGAAAUAAUAUUUUCUUCCACUUCAUUAAUAAUUAUUACCUACAAAUUAUGGUACAGGUAUAAGGACCAAGUUUGCAUCAACCUAUGCCCAACUAUUUCUGUCAUAUUGGGAGAAGUUGUUUAUUAUCAUAAGCAUGGCAGUGGGGCAAACGUGGUCCUGUAUAAAAGGUAUAUUUAUGACCUUUUUAUAAAUGAAAGGGGGUUAAAAACAUAUUUUUGCAAUUCUUAAAAGAUAUAUAUGACAAUGAUUGGAGUACAGCACUCACGAAAUUAUUAGUCUAAAAUGUUUUGUUUUGGAACUUUAUAUAAACAUUAAUAAAAUGAUCAAAAUCCAAAAUAUAAAGUUCACUAUACCUUUGAAAGUGUGCCAAACAAAUAUUUGUGCACCAUAUUCUAUUAAAUACAAUGCUUAUUCAAAAUAGUGCAUAAAACCAUGUGUUUGUGCAAAAUCACAAAAAGGUUCAAUAAUUGUGCAACAUAUAGCAAAAGUGCAAGCAUCCAAAACAUUCUGUUGCAAAUCAAGUGCAUACAUUUCAAACACAAAAAAAUGCUUAACCUUCUUUGUAGAAUGCUUUUCGAAUAAGCUAGUUAGCUACGCAUGUUUUUGAUUAAUACAAGUCAAUGUUUAAGCACAUCACCAUAUGGGAGUGAACUAUAGACAAGUAAAACAUCAUGUCAAAUAAAGUACAAACGGUGUGAAGGUAGUGAAACAGUGAAAGUACUGUCAGCAAAAUGAAACAGACGAUUAAUUUACCAAGAUUGUGCCCACAGAAGGCCCCCCAAGACAAACUGAUUAAGGAGAUGUGAGAAAUGAGAAAUGUUGGACAAAAUAAUAGAAAUAAUGCAAACUACACUAAAGGAUGAGACAGUUGGACAGAUGUGUCCCACAGAUAUCACUAAUAAAAUGGUGACAAGUAUGUAGCCAAGAGUAGAAGAGUUUCCUUUCCCCAAGCCUCUUUCAUCCAAUGCCUACUGUGGGCAGAGCAUAGUCCUGCAUCAGGGUUGCAUACUGCUCAUCUUCAUAGCCAGGAUGGAUGUUGUUUUUUGUUCUCUUGAGAUGUCUCUUGAGAUGUCUCAGACUUUGGCUAUAGACCACCACGUUGUCUUUCUCUGUGACACUUUAGACAGGAGUAAGGUGCGCUUUGCUCUCUGCCGCUCUCUCAAGGUACGCAAGGCAUCGAGAACUGCUGGGACCAAGGUCUUCCAGAGGGUGCUUUUCAAGGUAAGUAUCCGCUCUUCUGCAGUGGGGCAAGUUUUUGAUCAAACUUCUGCCAGAAAUUUGAAAAUAUUUAGUCCAGAGAAGCCAAAACAUUAACAUUAGCGGCACAGGGGCCAUCAAUGCAUGCAUUGUCUGCCAUUUUGGGGAAGUCACUGCAUGGUUUCACCAUCCAUGCUGCCUCACUCUGCGCUCUAGUAACAGCAGGGUAUCUCAUGAGGGGACUGUCCAAGGCAUAUGUGUGCUGUUGUCCGCUGCCGAACAACCUGGGACAGGAGACCGGCUGCUUUUCCUACCCUAUGUGCUCCAGGCCACAGGAUCUGAUACGGGGUAAGUAAGCUCUCCUAGGGCCACAGAUUAAUACACCUUAAGCCCACUAUGAUGAGGGCAUUGUUGCUGGCCAGUUAGUUAGUUUCCCAGUUUCUGACUAUUAGAAUUUUAAAAGCUACAAAACAAUGUAUAAUGAAAUUUCUUUCCAUCUUUUUUAACUUAGGCCAUCUCAAAUGCAAUAAAGCUACCUCUGGCACAAUCGUAAGUCUAUAUUCUAUCAUUUUAUAUAUAAGAACAAAAAUCUUUUUCCAUUGCAUCUUUAUUUCAGUACAGCUUCACCAGAUAGGUAUGUAUGAACCUCUACUCAAAGAACAAUCACAUGGCCCCCUAUAGCUGGCUGUGAAUCUGCCAGCAGGGGGACUGUCUGAAAUGCUAGAGUUCCCCUGCUGGUGGUAAAGUAAAAAAAAAAAAAAGAAUUAAACAUGUGUAAAAUUAAAAUAGAAAUGUAUUUAUAUAUAUAAUAUAUGUGUAUAUAUCUAUUAUAUAUAUAUAUAUAUAUAUAUAUAUAUAUAUAUAUACUAUAUAUACAUAUUAUAUAUAUGUAACGUCAUACAAAGUGAAUUUUAAUAUUAAUAUAAGUACAUAUAUUAGUGUAACGGAUCACCUGGCACCCCGACUGGGUACCUCCGUUGAAGGAUGCUUCUAGGGCUUCCUGAGGACUCCAAGCAGUGCAGCAGGCACCACAACCACCGCCGUCUUCCUUCAACCCUGUAUGAACCUCCAGCAUCCAGGACCGUGUGGGGAAGACCUCUCCUCCAGGAGAGCGUAACAGGAACAGCUCUUAAAAGAGCUAAGUGAUUAAAAGCUCAAGGGAGUAUGCAGAGCAUAGCAAUCCCCAGUGUGAUAUAGUAUUGAGGGUCAAGAAGAUCUGUAUUACUUGGCACCAAAGGGCCUUCUUUUAUCUUUUUUCCCUACAUAGGACCACCCACAGGGUUUUUCAGAACAACCAAUAAACACAUUACAACAUAUACAAUGCAAGUACAGCAGCCAAUCAGACACAAUGGACAAUAGAAACACACCCAUCAUAUUCCUCCCCUCUGCUUAGGAGAUAAUUGAGUCAAUGACUGUAUCUACUCAAUUAUCUCCAAGCUGAAAAGUUACACUUUUUAUACAUUUUUAUAGCUUUGUGAGUUUACAUCACAAACGAAUAAAACUUAUAUUUUAGUGAUCAGCAUAACUUGGGGAGCAACAUAUGUAAAAAUCACAUGAAUCCAUCUAGGGGUUAAAAAGUUAGGUUGAGGUCCCUUUAUUAUCAAUUGCAAGCAUGGCUUUUCCUUCCCAAACCAGUUCCCACUGGUCUGGCAGUGUCCCUGGGACAACUCCCUGCUGGAGAACAAUGGAGCUGGGGGAGGGGAAGAGCCUCACCUUCCCAGGGAUUCAAAGGGGAAGAAAAAGUGUCCAAAAAGUUUCCAUGUGUCCAUACACUGUUUUUAAAAGGGCCAGCACUGUACAAUAAAAGUCCAUAAGCCCAAAUGAGUUCUUAAAGGGCAAUACAUCCCAGGGCCAUAGUCGCAGGGCAGGAGGCUAGCAAUCAGUCCUCUCCAAUGCCCAGUGGCAAAUGGCAGUUUGUCACAAUUAGUAUUAAAAUACCCUUAGAAUGACGUUACAUAUAUAUAAUAUGUAUAUAUAUUAUAUAUAUUAUAGAUAUAUACACAAAUAUAUAAAUAUAUAUACGUAUAAUUACAAUAAUAAAUAAAUAAAAUAAUAAAAUAAAUAAAUAAAAUAUUGAAACAAAAUUUGAUAUAAAUUAUAUAUUCAUAUGUAAUUUCAUUCUAACUGUAUUUUGUUAUUAAUAUAUAUAUAUAUAUUGGUAACAAAAUACACUUAGAAUGACAUUCUAUAUAUAUCUAUCUAUAUAUAAAAUACAAAUAACCGCAAAUAUAUAUAUAUAGAUAAAUACAUAUAAUUACUUAAAAUAUUACAUUAGUAUACACAUAGAAUUUAAAUACCUAUAAAUGCAUAUAUAUUAAAAUUCUUCUUGAAUAUUUAAGUAAUCUUUUAACAUAAUUUUGUGAUUUGAUUAAUUAAAAUUUGAUUGACAUACCUGACAACACGGGGAGAAAGUGCAGAGAAUUGAAUUUGCAAGCACUAUAUUUUACCCUGUAACUCUCCAAGACACCAUAAAAUCUGUACAUAGGGGGUACUGUUUUACUCAGGAGACUUCGCUGAACUCAAAUAUCAGUGUUUCAAACUGGUAAAUUGUAUUACAACGAUGAUAUUUUAAGUAAAAGCUAAAUUUUUUGCAUUUUUUACAAACAAACAGCACUUUUAUGGACUAUAUUAUUGUUGUAAUAUGUUUUACUGUUUUAAAACACUAAUAUUUGUGUUUAGUGAAGUCUCCUGAGAAUAACAGUACCCCCAUGUGCAGGUUUUAUGGUGUUUUGGAAAGUUAGAGAGUCACAUAUAAGGCUUGCAUUUCAUUUUUUUACAUUGAAAUUUGUCAGAUUGGUUAUGUUGUCUUUGAGAGCGUAUGGUAGCCCAGGAAUGAGAAUCUGCAAAAGUAGACAACUCAAGGUAUUGCAAGUGGGGUAUAUCCAGUCUUUCUGAGUAGCCACUUAGUCACAAACACUGGGCAAAUAUUAGUUUUUUGCUUUUUUCACACAAAAACAAAUAUGAACGCUAAUUUUGGCCAGUGUUUGUGACUAAGUGGCUACUAAAAAAGACUAAACAUACCCCACUUUCAAUACCUUGGGUUGUCUAGUUUUUCAAAUGGUAUGCCAUUAUGGGGGUAAUUCUCAUUCCUGGGCUACCACACCGUCUCAAAGGUAACAUUACUAAUCUGGCAAAUUUCAAUGUGAAAAUGGAACGUUCUAUAUUUGACCCUGUAACUUUUGAAAACACCAUAAAAUCUGUUAAUGGGGGGUACUGUUGUACUCAUGAGACAUCGCUGAUUACAAAUAUGUGCAUUUGUUUGCAGUAAAACCUAACAGUAUUAUGACAUUCACAGCUAAAAUGUCAGACGGAAAUACAAAUGUAAAAAAAAAAUCUUAUUUUCUCACAUUUUUUUAAAUUUUAUUCAUAAUAAAUUAUGUUCCAUAUAUGAAUAGUUAAUGAUAAAUUAAAGCCCUGUUUCUCCUGAACAAAAUGAUAUAUAAUAAGUGUGGGUGCACUUAAUGUGACAGCGGUGAAUUACGGUUGAACAGACAUAUAGUGCAAAUUCCAGUGUUUGUUUACGUUUUGUUUUGAUCAGAACUAUUGACUCCGUCCUGAAGGGGUUAAUGAUUUAUACCAGUCUAUAUUUGUGAUUGUAAUAUUUAAUUAAUUUUCCCAUUUUACUAAAGCAUUGAUUUGAUCCUUAUUUUUAUUCUUUUUGAUCAUACUCAAUGCUUUGGAGAGAACUUUAUAAACUUUAUUUUGGUUAAAAAUACUAUGUAAAUCCUCAUUUAUUCCUGUUUUACUAAACCUUAAAUGUUGCUUUAAUGUAUACUUUACUCUUAGUUAGUUAAAAAGCUCAGAUGAAGGGAAUUUAAACUCUAUUGUUAAAUCCAAAAAUGAUUUUAUUUUAGUAUAUUCUAUUAGGGGGUUUAUAGUUGUAAAAUUACAUCUUUUCAAGUUUGUUAAGGCAACAUUUUCCAAGUUGGCCUCCAGUACCUCCAAUGGCAUAAAGCUAAAAAUCCUUCCCUUAAUAUCUAGGAAUUUUUUAACAGAGUCCCAAAUCUCAUUCAAAUGGUUUUUUUUUUUUUUUUUUAUAUUCUUUAUUUUUCUUGUGCAACAAGAUAGACAUGCAAGCGUGUGUUGCCACAUUCUCAAACCUAAGUGAUUCAAACGGUAUGGUACUAUGGCACAUGAGGAAACUGAACAAUUUUAUUUUUUUAUAUUAAACAUGCUAAACCAGAUCUUUCCAGUAUAUGUGUUAUCAAGAGGAGUAGAAAGGCGUAUUACAUAUACUGAUUUGAAUGAAGGGAAAAGAGUAAGGUAAACAAGAGUGGUAUUAAAGGAAACUACAAGCUUAGAUAGACCACUAAUUAGCAGUCGUGAGUAGUAUCAGUGAUAAUUAAUAAGCAGGGUAAACAAUCAUGUCAAAAUGAGAGGCAGAUGCAGAAUAGUCUACCUGCCAAGAAAUUAUAGACAUGAUGAGUGUUAUUCUAUCUGUAGCUUAACAGGUUAGACAUAGUAGUAGUACAUAGAUAGAAAAAUAAUAAGAAGGAUCUGGUUAACAAGGCGGUUAUGCCAGAAUUUUACUGUUAGGCGUUUUAGCUAUGUACUUUGGCAACACGGUACCGGAGUCUACCACAUCAGGGGGGUGAGAUUUUAUUGCUAUGCCUGGCAGGUAAAUGAGUGGGGUAGCAAAAAGAACAAACAAAAAAGAGUUCACCAGGUUGCCUUGGUGUUAGCAGAUCGCAGCUUAAGAGGCUGAAUGAGGGGCUAGGUAGCAUCUGUUGUAGGAAAGACGGGCUGCGGGCGGACUCUGUGGUGUGUGCCCUGUAUGUGAGUUCCUGGUAAGCCUAUGCCCAGCAGAGGAAAAGGCUAUGGUGGUGCUCGGAAGUCUCGCUGGGGCAAUGCAGGGUCUUGUUGAGUGAGUCCUUUCUCAGGCCGUCUCAGUGGCUGUGGUUUAUGGUACCGCAUGUGAGUUCUCUGAUCAAACGGCUCACCCAUGUGGGGUAAGCUUCUUUGCAGGUGCCAUGCAGGAAUGUUGCAGCGAGAUGGCAAGGUGCUUAGUCGGCAAUGUCAUGCUGCUGUGUGGCUCAGUGCUUGGAGUGUCUGCUGGCGUAUCCAUCGGUGCGGUGGGCACUUCUCCAUGUCGGCGCUGGUUCGAUGGGGAACUUCAGCCCCUCCCCUGUUUGGUAGGUAGAGCGGGGUGUGUAGCUCUAUGCUCUAUGCACCUCCAGAAGUCCUGGCAGAUGCGAUCAUGCUUCAAAGCGCUCCCUCCACGCCUGUAUUUCUGGGCUUUCCCCUGUCUGCAGGGGAUGGUGCUCGGCGGUCAUCUUGGACCCGGCAUGCGGUCUGCUGUCCAACCAAGGAGUGUCUGUUUGUAAGACUGUUGGGUUCCCCAGCGUGGACCGGGAUAACCCCCACUGCUCCAUAGGGGGGGCAUGUGGGUCAACAGGAGAGCUGAUGUUUCUUGCUGUCCCCAUGGCGGGAGAUCGGCCACCUCUCCCAGCCACUAGGCCACCUUCCUUGCUAAAAACAAGAAAUGGUAAAUAGGUCGCGCUACAGAAACAAAUAAAUAAUAUAUAGGGAUAGUAUAUCUACAUAAAAUAAGAAAAGCAAGAAAAUGAAUAAAUAAUAGUCCCAAUAUUGAUGUCUGGUUAGAUCAACUUGUAAAGGCUUGAAUGUGUGAUGAAUCCAAUAGAGUACUGGAUCUUCAGAUGCUGGAGGUGUCUUGACUCAAUUGUGAAUAUGUGGAUAUAAAAAUACAAAAAUACUCCAAUAGUGCAGACAACAAGUUGACAAGUAGAAAAAUAUAUAUAUACAACAGGGAAGUAAUCCACUCACCUAUUUGAGAGCAUAAACUAGCUCAAGUAUUCGUAGCAUUCAGGGGCGUCAAUCCUCCACUGGUAGGCUAUAGAUGGUGGUAUUCUGAAGAGCUCCUCAGUAUGUAGAGAAAUAAAAGGCCAUAUAUAGUGCUCACUGAAUAUAUUGUAGAACAAAUCAAUAAGAAGAAAUAAAAUACUCACAUUUAUAUGAGCAGGAUAUACUGCUCAAUAUGAUGGCACAGGUGGUACUAUCCCCACCUAGGAUUCUUGGGCCAACGCGUGCUCCAAUAUAGUAAGUGACCAGGUGUAAACACAAUAAAUAAAAUAAUAAAAGAUAUAUGGCAAAUAUAAGGUAUAAAAGAAAGGGACAAUAUUCCUUUAUUAAUAAUAGUUUAAAAAUAAGAAUAUAAAACGCAUUUCGCCACACAGGGCUUUAUCAACUGGCAUUAAAAGAAAACAACCUGGUACAUAGAUGCUUAUAUAGACUCCUUAAACAUAUGUUAAUUCAAAUUUUGGCACCAAAAUGACAUCAUUGGUGAAAUACAAAAAACAGUACAUAAUAUAAAUACAAUAGGAACAGAGUAUUGGAAAAACAACCCAAAUGAUUUUGCUAUAUUGUAAUCUCUAAAACGAGCAUUCUACUUAAAAGAUUAUUAAAAUAUUAAAAUCACGUGAUCGCGAUCUGCCGCGAUCACGUGGUAUGUCCCUAUGGACUAUGGGAAAUGGAUGCUGAGCCUGGGGGAUCAGCGUGAACAGAUACGCCCAUCAUCGUGACGUCAGCGUGCAGGGCGGGGUUAUAGUCCGAGCAUAGGCGUGCGCACGGGGUGUGCCGGGUGUGCCUGGGCACACCCUAAUCCCCGUGGCACGCCUAUGGUUUGAGUCCUGCAGGAACAGCGUCCCUGCACUUUUUUGAGCAGGAACGCUGUUCCUGCAGACACUCAGCACCCCCUGUCUCACCUCUUGCCCCUGUCAUGGGAGGGCAAGAGGUGAUCGAUCCCCCCCCCCUCUCUCCAGCUCAGCCGCGGCGAGGGAGCUCUCUGCUGUCUGCGCUCUGCUUCCUCUCGCCGCACGCUGAUGCCGGAAGCCGGAAUAUGACGUCAUAUUCCGGCUCCCAGCUGCAGCAGACAGCCCGCGCGGCGAGAGGAAGCAGAGCGCAGACAUCACACAGCUCCCUCGCCGCGGCUGAGCUGGAGAGAGGCGCCCGCCCCACUGGACCCCAGGGACAAGUCCACGCCAGCACUCCAGGUAGGAGGCUGGGUGGACAUUUUUUUUUAAUUAAAAUGUAAUAAUUUGUUCUUAUGUGUGAGUGUGUCUGUGUGAGUGAGUGUGUCAGUGAGUGUGUGUGUGUGUCUGUGUGAGUGAGUGAGUGUGUCAGUGAGUGUGUGUGUCUGUGUGUGAGUGUGUGUGUCUGUGAGUGUGUGUGUCUGUGAGUGUGUGUGUCUGUGUGUGAGUGUGUGUGUGUGUGAGUGUGUGUGUCUGUGAGUGUGUGUGUCUGUGUGAGUGAGUGUGUCAGUGAGUGUGUGUGUCUCUGUGUGAGUGUGUGUGUGUCUGUGUGAGUGAGUGUGUCAGUGAGUGUGUGUGUGUGUGUGUGUGUGUGUGUGUGUGUGUGUGUGUGUGUGUGUGUGUGUGUGUGUGUGUGUGUGUGUGUGUGUGUGUGUGUGUGUGUGUGUGUGUGUGUGUGUGUGAGUGUGUGUGUGAGUGUGUCUGAGUGUGUGUGUGUCUGUGAGUGUGUGUAUGUGAAUGUGUGUGUGUGUCAGUGUGUGUCUGUGUGUGAGUGUGUGUGUGUCUGUGUGUGUGUCAGUGAGUGUGUGUCUGUGAAUGUAUGUGUGUGUGUGUCAGUGAGUGUAUGUGUGUGUCUGUGUGAGUGUGUGUCUGUGAAUGUGUGUGUCUGUGAGUGUAUGUGUGUGUGUGUCUGAAUGUGUCUGUGAGUGUAUGUGUGUGUGUGUCUGAAUGUGUCUGUGAGUGUGUGUGUGUAUGCAUAUAUAUAUAUGUAUAUAUAUAUAUAUAUAUAUAUACACACACACACACGCAGAGCCGGCGCUAUCUGAGUGCCGGCUCUGCUUUAAGCCUCCAUGGGCCGGCAGGGAGACCAAAGAUCUACCUCACCGGCCCACAGCAGCAUGGAGGGAGGCAGGAGAGGACCCAGGGAGCUCUAGACAGAAGCUCCGCCAGGUUCCUCUCGUGAUAUCUGAGUGUUGCUGCGUCACGCCUAUGAGUCCGAGAUCGUGCCGCUCUCUAAACAAAUUCGCCUGCGGCAUAGUGCCAGAGAGCGAUACACAGGACUUUCACUUCUUAGUGACAGUACACUCCGGGGAGUGAGGUCAAUCAGGUGGAACGCUCCAAAGGAUGGGAGCACUCCACCCGACAGCCUCCCUACCCAUCAAUCCACUGUAACAUCAGUAAAAAGUUAAAAUGAAAUUGUAACAGCACAGCAAUGUUUUUUUGAUUAUAAAUAUCAAUAAAAUAAUUCAUAAACUAAUACAUGAAAUAAUAUAAUAAUAAUGGCAAUACGAAUAAAAGAUUUUAAGGGGAAACUAAAAACUAAAAAAUAAAUGAAAAACCACAUUGAAUAGAUAUAUUCUUUAUGUAACGUGGGGUAUAAAACAAGUUAAAAAAAGGGGGUUGUAUUUAUAUUGGAAACUAUAAAAAUGGGAAUCAAAUAAAAUAAAAAUAUAUAGCCCAAAUGGGAAUUGUUGCAAUUACAAAAAAUGUAAAAAAAAAAAUUCAAAAAAAUUAACAUAAAAAAAAUAAAAAAAUAAAAAUAAUCUUAAAUAACAACUAUUUUUGGUUUUCGGACUCAUUUUAUAUCCAAAAGAAAGGCACCGCCAUGGGAACCAGGUUUGCCCCCAGCUUUGCAAACCUCUUCAUGGCCGAUUGGGAGUCUUCGGCCAUUUGGGGCGAACAUGGCUGGCGGGCAAACUUGGUUUCCUAUUUUCGGUAUAUUGAUGAUUUAUUUUUUAUCUGGCAAGGUUCAGAAACUUGUCUGAAAUUGUUUUUAGAGUAUCUAAAUGAAAAUGAUAGUGGCAUAGUUUUAUCCUCAGAACAUAGUAAUGUAUCAGUCAAUUUUUUGGACCUUAACAUUUUUAUUCAAGAUUGUAGCAUCCAAACAAAAACCUUCUUCAAAGAAGUGUGCACCAAUACUAUAAUUGACCAUACCAGCUGUCAUCACAAACCUUGGUUGGAUGGCAUUCCAGAAAGCCAAUUUCUGCGCCUCCACCGCAAUUGUUCUCUAACAACUGAUUUUGAUGUUUAAUCUACCUCAUUAAAUAAUAUGUUUUUAGAAAAAAAUUAUAAACCAGAAAAACUAAAUGCAGCCCUAGAGGAAGUUAAGGAGAAGGAGAGAAAAGAACUUCUGAAAUAUAAAGUCAAAAAAGAAGACCCCCCCAAAAUUACCUAUUAUUUUAGAUUUUAACAGUAAAAACAAAACCCUUAAAAAGAUUAUCAAUAAACACUGGCACAUUCUCAAACAAGAUGAUCUUUUGAGAGACUACAUCCCAGACAAACCUAAUGUAAUAUUUAGAGGGGCCCCUAAUUUUAAAACAAUUCUCACAAAAAAUUACACUAAAAAUAACACACAACAGAGAGGUAAUUUUAUGUCCAAGCUGAAAGGCUUUAAGUACAAUAAAUGUAUUGUGUGUAGAACCACAAACCCAAUUGCCAACACUAAAACCACCCAUUUCUCCUCCACAAUUGCAAAAGUCUCAUAUCCAAUCAAAGAUUUCAUUGGUUGUAAUACAAUUUUUUUUUUAUAUAUUUGUUGGAGUGUCCAUGUGGACUCCAAUAUGUAGGCAUGACUACAUGAUGCCUAAAAAUUAGACUGGCGGAACAUUGUCGAAAUAUCAGAAGAGGUUAUGAUAAUCAAUCAGUCGCAAAACACUUUUUAGUACACAAUAAAGAUCCAGAAAUUUUUUAAAGUUACUGGGAUAGAACAAGUUACUAUGCCUUGGAGGGGUGGAGAUAUGAAAAACAUCUUAGGGAAAAGAGAAAUGAACUGGGUCUUCCAACUUCAAAACCCUCUCUCCAGAAGGACUUAAUGUUGAAUUUGAUCUUUUUAAUUUUCUAUAAAAUAGUUAUGUUUUCCUGCCACCCUAUAUACCCAUCUUCUAUUAGGAUGCAUAAUAAGACCUAAUAAUUUAAUGGUUAACUUCCUAUUUGACUUAGAUAAGUUGGUUCAUUUUUUAAAUAUUUUUUUAAAUAUUUUUUUUAAAUAUUUGUUAAGAAAAUUUAAUUUUUUUUUAGUUUUUUUAAAAAACUUUUUAAAUUUUUUUUUUAAUCUUUUAUUCUUAUUGCCAUUAUUAUUAUUAUAUUAUUUCAUGUAUUAGUUUAUGUAUUAUUUUAUUGAUAUUUAUAAUCAAAAAAAACAUUGCUGUGCUGUUACAAUUUCAUUUUAACUUUUUACUGAUGUUACAGUGGAUUGAUGGGUAAGGUGGCAGUCGGGUGGAGCGCUCCCAUCCUUUGGAGUGUUCCACCUGAUUGACCUCACUCCCCGGAGUGUACUGUUAUUAAGAAGUGAAAGUCCUGUGUAUCGCUCUCUGGCACUAAGCCGCAGGCGAAUUUGUUUAGAGAGCUGCACAAUCUCGAACUAUAACCCCGCCCUGCACGCUGACGUCACAACGAUGGACGUAUCUGUUCACGCCGAUCCCCCAGGCUCAGCAUCCAUUUCCCAUAGUCCAUUGGGACAUACCAGGUGAUCGCGGCAGAUCGCGAUCACGUGAUUUUAAUAUUUUAAUAAUCUUUUAAGUAGAAUGCUCGUUUUAGAGAUUAAAAUAUAGCAAAAUCAUUUGGGCUGCUUUUCCAAUACUCUGUCCCUAUUGUAUUUAUGUUUUGUACUGUUUUUUGUAUUUCACCAAUAAUGUCAUUUUGGUGCCAAAAUUUUAAUUAACAUAUGUUUAAGGAGUCUAUAUAAGCAUCUAUGUACUAGGUUGUUUUCUUUUAAUGCCAGUUGAUAAAGCCCUGUGUGGCGAAAUGCGUUUUGGCUCUUUUUUAUAUUCUAAUUUUUAAACUAUUAUUAAUAAAGGAAUAUUGUCCCUUUCUUUUAUACCUAAUAUUUGCCAUAUACCUUUUAUUAUUUUAUUUAUUGUGUUUACACCUGGUCACUUACUAUAUUGGAGCACGCAUUUGCCCAAGAAUCCUAGGUGGGGAUAGUACCACCUGUGCCAUCAUAUUGAGUAGAAUAUCCUGCUCAUAUAAAUGUGAGUAUUUUAUUUCUUCUUAUUGAUUUGUUCUACAAUAUAUUCAGUGAGCACUAUAUAUGGCCUUUUAUUUCUCUACAUACUGAGGAGCUCUUCAGAAUACCACCAUCUAUAUCCUACCAGUGGGGGAUUGACGCCACUGAAUGCUACUAAUACUUGAGCUAGUUUAUGCUCUCAAAUAGGUGAGUGGAUUACCUCCCUGUUGUAAAUAUCUAUUUUUCUACUUGUCAACUUGCAGUCUGCACUAUUGGAGUAUUUUUUGUCUUUUUAUAUCCACAUAUUCACAAUUGAGUCAAGACACCUCCAGCAUCUGAAGAUCCAGUACUCUAUUGGAUUCAUCACACAUUCAAGCCUUUACAAGUAGAUCUAACCAGACAUCAAUAUUGGGACUAUUAUUUAUUCAUUUUCUUGCUUUUCUUAUUUUAUGUAGAUAUACUAUCCCUAUAUAUUAUUUAUUUGUUUCUGUAGCGCAACCUAUUUACCAUUUCUUGUUUUUCUAUUUCCUUUGAGGGCACGUGAGGGAACCUCAUAUCUAUAGGUUGCUGCUCUAUAUCCAUUUUAGCUUCUAUUCGAUCACAUAGCGCUGAUCCAAUAUCUAUCUGUUUCACCUUCCAUGCUAGGCCGCAUAUGUGGAGUGAGGACUCUGUUUUUCACGUCUGAUUUUCACGAGGCGGGUAUCCCUGGGUCUCCAGUCGCUCCAGCACUUCUUUGUAGGUGAGCUGGUUUGCUUUUGCAAGAUUGCCGCAUAAAUUAUUAAAACAGCUUGGCUGUUAGGCUGUUUCAAUAUUAGGUAGGGGUUUAUGAUUACAAUUCCAUUUAUUUUAAAUAGUUUAGAUUAAUUCAGACUAUUCAUUUCCAUCACAUACCAAAUUUUUGUAAGUUCUGUAUCCAGCUGAAGAUUAUAUAUAUGAGUAACUAUACUUGCAAAACAGUUAUACUUAAUAUUAGGGAAAUUUAUUUCACCUUUCUAUUUUUUUAUAGAAAGUAACAGAAUAUUUAAUCUUCGUUGUUUCCCUUUCCAAAUAUUUUGAUUAAAUCCCCUUUGUAUCAUCUUCAACCAACUAUCUGGAAUUAUGAGAGGGAGCAUUUGAAAUAAAUCGGUAAUAGAUAUGCAUUAAUUUUAUUUGCUCUACCUAUCCACAAUGCUCCCACAUUUUUUCCAGUCUUUCAGGGUAUGAUUUGUGGCUUUUAAUAAUUCUAAAAAGUUAUUUCCAUGCUAGUUUUAAUAUUUUUUGCUAUUUUCACUCCUAGAGAGUUUAUUACUUUUUUAGACCAUUCAAGCCAUAUUUGGUUUUAAUUGCAUUUUUUAUCUCUGUUUUUAAAUUACAGCCUGUAAUAAUUGAUUUCUCUAUGUUAAUCUUAAAAUUAAAAGCUUCAGAAUAUUCUGUAAACUCUUCCAUUAAAUGUUCUGAUUACUUAAUCGGAUCUGUUAGUGUGAUCAAUGUAUCAUCUGCAUAUAGAUUUAUUUUUGAUUCUAGUGAUUGUAACACAACUUCCCUAAUCCUACAUGCAAAUGGUUCUAAAGAAAUUAUAUAGAGCAAUGGUGAAAGUGGACACCCUUGACGUGUUCCAUUCAAUAGUAGGAACCAGUCAAAACAGAUGUUUUGUCCAACAACUCUGGCUGAUGGUGAUUUAUAAAGGGCCAUUAUAGCCUUGUGCAUCCACCCAUCUAUUCCUACUCUUUUUAAAGUCAGACUCAAUUAUUUCCAGCCGACCCUGUUGAAGGCCUUUUCUGCAUCCACCGACAGGUUCAGCAUGGGAAGGUGAGUUCUAUUUACUAGAUCCAAAAUUUUCAAAAUUUUAUAGAGUUCAUAUUAGCUGUUCUAUUUGGACUAUACCCAACCUGAUCAGGAUGUAUAAUCUUGUCCUUCUUAAGUCUGUCUGCCAGUACUGAUGCAAAUAACUUCAGGUCAUUAUUCAAGAGUGAGAUGGGCCUAUAAUUUUCCAUUUUAGUAGGACACUAGCCCUGCUUCAAUAUUGGUAUUAUAUUGGCUCUUAGUAAUUCCUCUGGAAAUGCUCCUGUUUGUGUUGCUUCAUUAAUCAUUCCUACCAAAUGAGGAAGAAAAAGAUCACUACAUUUCUUAUAAAAAAGACCAGUAUAUUCAUCUGGUCCCGGAGUUUUUUGCCUUUCCAAUCUAUGUAAUGCCCUAGCUAAUUCAUCUUCUGUAAUGCUCUUAUUUAAUUUUUUUGUUUGAGUUUUGGACACUUUGAGAGUGUACUAGCCUGAAGACAUGUUUCUAUUAAUUCUUUAUCUCUAUUUUUUAAAAUUAUAUAAUGAGCUAUAAAAAGAUUUAAAAGCUUGUGCUAUUAAAGUUGGAUUAUAUAUUGGUCCAUUAUUUUGUUUAAUUUUUGAAAUUCGGUUAUUGGUCUUUUCAGUGGCGUACUAAGGGUGGGGGGUGCCAUGACCAGCCCCGCCGCCCCCCCCCAUGCUGCAGCCGCCCGAGCGCUCUGUAGUGAGCCACAGGCGGCUGCAGCUUUGCCCGGGCGGUGCGUCCAUGAGGGCGGACCGCACCGCCCGGACGCAGCCUGAGGAGAGGCUGACAGGAGGGAAGCGCUCAGCGCUCCCUCCUGUCACUCCCUCUGUAGUAGCGUGGCCGAGCCCUGUAUAGUCGGUGGGUACAGGGAGCAGCUGUCUCCUGUACCCGGCCGGACUAACAGGAAGUGUGCACUUCCUGUUAGUCCGGCCGGGUACAGGAAACAAAAGCUCCCUGUACCCGCGGACUAUACAGGGCUCGGCCACGCUACAGCGAGGUAGGGGGGUGAGAAAGAAGGGGGAGAGGAGGGGUGAGAGAGAGAAAUAAGGGGGGUGAGAAGGAANNNNNNNNNNNNNNNNNNNNNNNNNNNNNNNNNNNNNNNNNNNNNNNNNNNNNNNNNNNNNNNNNNNNNNNNNNNNNNNNNNNNNNNNNNNNNNNNNNNNGGAGGGGGGAAGAGAAAUUAGGAGGGAGGGAGAGAUAUUAGGAGGCGGGAGAGAUAUUAGGAGGGGGGGAAAGAGAAAUUAGGGCGGGAGAGAAAUAGAAAUUGGGGGGGAGAGAAAUUAGAGAGAAAUUAGGAGGGGGGAGAGAAAUUAGGGGGAAAGAGAAAUUAGGAGGGGGGGUGAGAAAGAGAAAUUGGGAGGAGGAGAAGGAAAUUGGAGUGGGAGGAGAGAUUGACAUUCAUCACAUACACACAAUGCACCCCUUGCACACAGAAAAACACACAAUGCAUUACACACACAGACACACAUACACAAGCAAUGCAACCGUUACACACAAUGCAUCCCUUACACACACAGAAACACACAAUGCAUUCAUUACACACACUCAAUGCACCCCUUACACACAUUCAAUGCAUCCCAUACAUACACAGAAACACACCUUGCAGCCCUUACACAUACAAACACAAUUUCACACAAUGCAUUCCUUACACACAUAUCAGGACAUCCCCUACACACUCCACCCCCUGUGAACAAACUCAUUGGUGGAACAUGAAGGUGGACCCUGGGACCCAGACCUUGAGCUGUGUAAAGGACCCCCAAAAAAUGGAGCUGCUUCCCGUUCUCCCAGAACAUUGAUUUUUGUGACCACAGUUACAAACCGCCUCCAGAGAGCCUGUUCUGCCCAUCAUCAUCCUCAUCUGGUUGUAAGUAGGCAAUCUAGUAUAUUAUUCGUGGCACUAAGCUCUAAUUUACCUCACAUUAAAGAAACACUAUACAGGGAGUGCAGAAUUAUUAGGCAAGUUGUAUUUUUGAGGAUUAAUUUUAUUAUUGAACAACAACCAUGUUCUCAAUGAACCCAAAAAACUCAUUAAUAUCAAAGCUGAAUAUUUUUGGAAGUAGUUUUUAGUUUGUUUUUAGUUAUAGCUAUGUUAGGGGGAUAUCUGUGUGUGCAGGUGACUAUUACUGUGCAUAAUUAUUAGGCAACUUAACAAAAACAAAUAUAUACCCAUUUCAAUUAUUUAUUAUUACCAGUGAAACCAAUAUAACAUCUCAACAUUCACAAAUAUACAUUUCUGACAUUCAAAAACAAAACAAAACAAAAACAAAUCAGUGACCAAUAUAGCCACCUUUCUUUGCAAGGACACUCAAAAGCCUGCCAUCCAUGGAUUCUGUCAGUGUUUUGAUCUGUUCACCAUCAACAUUGCGUGCAGCAGCAACCACAGCCUCCCAGACACUGUUCAGAGAGGUGUACUGUUUUCCCUCCUUGUAAAUCUCACAUUUGAUGAUGGACUACAGGUUCUCAAUGGGGUUCAGAUCAGGUGAACAAGGAGGCCAUGUCAUUAGAUUUUCUUCUUUUAUACCCUUUCUUGCCAGCCACGCUGUGGAGUACUUGGACGCGUGUGAUGGAGCAUUGUCCUGCAUGAAAAUCAUGUUUUUCUUGAAGGAUGCAGACUUCUUCCUGUACCACUGCUUGAAGAAGGUGUCUUCCAGGAACUGGCAGUAGGACUGGGAGUUGAGCUUGACUCCAUCCUCAACCCGAAAAGGCCCCACAAGCUCAUCUUUGAUGAUACCAGCCCAAACCAGUACUCCACCUCCACCUUGCUGGCGUCUGAGUCGGACUGGAGCUCUCUGCCCUUUACCAAUCCAGCCACGGGCCCAUCCAUCUGGCCCAUCAAGACUCACUCUCAUUUCAUCAGUCCAUAAAACCUUAGAAAAAUCAGUCUUGAGAUAUUUCUUGGCCCAGUCUUGACGUUUCAGCUUGUGUGUCUUGUUCAGUGGUGGUCGUCUUUCAGCCUUUCUUACCUUGGCCAUGUCUCUGAGUAUUGCACACCUUGUGCUUUUGGGCACUCCAGUGAUGUUGCAGCUCUGAAAUAUGGCCAAACUGGUGACAAGUGGCAUCGUGGCAGCUGCACGCUUGACUUUUCUCAGUUCAUGGGCAGUUAUUUUGCGCCUUGGUUUUUCCACACGCUUCUUGCGACCCUGUUGACUAUUUUGAAUGAAACGCUUGAUUGUUCGAUGAUCACGCUUCAGAAGCUUUGCAAUUUUAAGAGUGCUGCAUCCCUCUGCAAGAUAUCUCACUAUUUUUGACUUUUCUGAGCCUGUCAAGUCCUUCUUUUGACCCAUUUUACCAAAGGAAAGGAAGUUGCCUAAUAAUUAUGCACACCUGAUAUAGGGUGUUGAUGUCAUUAGACCACACCCCUUCUCAUUACAGAGAUGCACAUCACCUAAUAUGCUUAAUUGGUAGUAGGCUUUCGAGCCUAUACAGCUUGGAGUAAGACAACAUGCAUAAAGAAGAUGAUGUGGUCAAAAUACUCAUUUGCCUAAUAAUUCUGCACUCCCUGUAGUCCCCAGAACCACUUCAGCUUAAUGUAGUGGUUCUGGUGUCUAUAGCCUGUUGCUGCAGGCCUUUUAAUGUAAACAAGGCGGCACUGCAGCACUGGCGUUAGUUAACAUGGCAAAUCAUAUGGGUGGGGCAUUGUGAUGUCACAUGGGGGGGGGCAAACUUUACUUUUGCCUAGGGCGGCAAAAUUCCUUGCACCGGCCCUGGCUGGAGGGGGCUGUGUGAGCUGUGGCCGCACAGUGUCCCAUGGUAGUUAGGGUGCCGUGCGGCCAGUACAACUCACACAAGCAAACAGCUGAUAAACUGGCCGCACGGAGGAAAUGUGUAUGUGUGACUGUCUGCCUGUGACUGUGUGUGACUGUCUGCCUGUAACUGAGUGUGUGACUGUCUGCCUGUAAAUGAGUGUGUGGGGCUGCAGGGAUUUUGUAGAAGGGGGCGGGGGUUUUGUAUUGGGACAGGAGUCUUUAUAAGGGGGGAUAAGCAGGGGAUUUGUGGAAGGGGGUUGCGGGGUUUUGUAGACUGGGCAGUACAGGAUUUGUAGAAGGGGCAGGACAGAGGUUUUGUAGGAGGGGUGGGGCAGUACAAGGGUUUUGUAGGAGGGGCUGACAGCGGUUUUGCAAAGUUUACAAAUUGUAAAAAAAAAGAAAGAAAAACUUUAACAUUUUUUACUGUUUUUUUUUUUUGCAGUGGGGGGAGGGUGGGGGAUGGGGGGGGUGCCAAGCACAGGAUCCGCCCCGGGUGCCAAAUGUUCUAGGUACGCCCCUGGGUCUUUUGAUUUUUUAGCCUAUUUGAAAGAAGUCUAUUAGUCUUAUUAUUGUUGUUAUAAUAACUAAUUUUUAAUUUAGACAUAAUAAUAGCAAUUUUUUUUUAGUUUUAGAUUUAUUUUUUUCUUAUAUUUUAAUCAGAUCAGAUAAUUUAUCAUAAGAGGGAUUCAUUUUAUUUUCUUUCAGAUAGUGAUAAGCCACUUUAAAAAAAAUCAUUUCUGCUUUCAGUUUAAUAAAAUAACCCCUUAACUGAUUUAAAUAUUCACCGAUUAUUGGUCCAUGAUGUAUCCUCUGGUUUAUUAGUUUCAAAGACAUUUUUAAGUCAUUCAGCCACUAUUUCUUUGCUUUUCUGAUUUUUUAACAGAAAAUCAUUUAAUUUCCAGGUUGAUCUUUUGCCUUUUCCAUAUUCAUCCUUCAAUUCCAGAUAUACUAUAUUGUGAUCCUACCAUGUAUUAUCCUUAAUCCAGGUUUUACUAAUUUUCCUUAAUACAGAAUUGUCCCCUAGGAACAUAUCUAUCAUAGAGUAGGAAAGGUGGGUAUAUUCAGUAUCUGUUGGAUGAGUUAUUCUCCAUAGGUCUAAAAGAUCAUAUUUACAGAUUGUUCUAUUUCAGUUUUUUGCUUGUUUAAUUGCUCUUGGAUCUAGUUUAUUAUUUGAUAGAGAUUUUUAUAUUCAUAAGCGUCUAUUACAAAUUUAAAAUCUCCACCUGUGAUACAAAGACCCAUCUUAAUCUCUUCUUUUUUUUCCAAAAUUUUCUUUAAGAAGCAUACUGGUGCAAAGUUUGGGAGAUAUAUAUUAAUUAACGUAUGUAUCACCUCAUUAAUCCUACAUAUUAGUAUUAGAUAUCAUCCCAGGAGAUCUGAAUAUUGACAAAUAAUCUCAAUUUUUAAAUAUAUUGAGAAUCGUAUUACAACCCCAUUUUGUUUUUUAUCUGGAUUUGAAGCACUAAAUAAAAAAGGGGAAUGUGUACCUCCUAAAGAUAUUUCUUGUGUCGGUUUCCAGUGGGUUUCUUGCAAGAAAACCAUGUCAAUAUGCUCUUUUGUCAAAACUUUUUGAACAAUGGAUCUCUUUUGUGGGGUGUUUAAUCCCUGGACAUUGAUCAAUCCUAAUCUACAACAACACCAACAUGUAUUUCCACCUCUCCAUAGAGAUGAGAGUGGAAAAAAAACAGUCCAUAAGGAAAAAGGAACUCAGCACCCUUUGCUGGUUCCAUCCAAACAAAAUUUAAAUAACCCAAUUUCAUUAUACCGUCAUUUAUAGUGAAGUUCAGAGGGAGGUAGGGGAAGCAUUUUUACUACAAAAAAUUUGAGACCUAUUUGACAUGUUUAUCUCUACCAAUUUCGUCUUAGUCUAGUCUUAUUCUAAACUCUUAAUUCUAUUCCUUUUUCCCAGAUGUACUUUAAGCAUAGAAGAAAAAAAGAAAAAUUAAAAAGUUAAAUAAUUAAGUGAUUAAAUGCUUAAAUGCCCCCUCCAUCCAUCCUCCCCCACCAUCCCAGAUGUGCUUACUCAAAAUGGGAGGCAGGAGAAGAAGAGAGACAGGGCACAUUCGUAAAAUAGGGAAACAUUCCUCAUUUAGUAAUAGCAAAUUAUUAGUACAGUAGCAUAAACAAUAACAAUUUUAUUUUACUUAUUCAUUUAAAUGCAUUGCCACUCUUAUGUUGUUAAUUAUAUUUUCCCUCUCUUCCUUUUUCCUUUUCUCUUCCUCUCUGCCCUGUGUCACUUUUAUAAUUUCAAAGUUUGUAUAUUAAAUAAAUAAAAAUAAAUGUCUAAGUGGAGUACCAUACAUAAUAGAUUAUUUAUUCUAGUGUUUAAUAUCGUCUAUUUUACUUUUACAACCAUCUAAAGUGUUUAUGUGCUUUACCAAUCAUGAUGUAUUAAUUAUUCAUUACAGUAUAACUUUUAUAUCCUCAAAAAUUGGUGUGUCCACCCCCCAUCUCCCCUCACCAUUCCAGCAGAUUGUGACAGGAGGGAGAAAGGAGAAAGAGAGAACAAACCUUAAUCAUCCAGGCACUUCAAAAAAGUGUGCAGAUGUAAAAAUAAAUAAAUAAAUAAAUAAAUAUUCUUUUUGAAUUCCAGUGUCCAGAAAUAGAAAGGAAUAAAAGGGAGAAAAACAAAUUCUUAUUUCCAAGUCUUACUGAGGCACUUAAUUAAUUUAUCAGCUUUCAUCCAUCUGUCAAGACUUUCAACAGAAUCCAAAAAUGUUGUUUUUCCAUUCCAAAAAACACUUAAAGAUUAUGAGAAGCCCCAUCUGAAUUUGACAUUGUUCUGUUUCAAAAUGGGGAUUUUUGCAGUACAAGUGUUACACCAUCUUCUUGUUUGAUAGGAGAGAUCUUAUAAUGUUCUUAAAUUCUGGACUUUUUGUUGGGUGCUCGCUAUACACUUUUAAUAAUUUCUUGUUAAAGGAAUGGACCAAAAACGUCACCAUUACAUCUCUUGGCUUUAAAUCAUCUAUAUCCUUGGGCUUUUGUAAAUGGUGUAUUCUCUCAAUUUUUGUUUCAAACGUAUCUGUAUCAAGUGAAAGAUCUAUUAAGAAAUUUAUAACCAAGGUCUCUAAAUUGCUGGGAUCAAUUUCCUCUGGUAUAUUUUUCAUCCUUAUAUACGAUCAUCUUGAUCUGUUUUCUAAAUAAUUUAUUUUCAGAUGCAUAUUUUUAACUUUCAACUCUAGCUGUAAUAUCUUUCCUGCAGGUUUUUUUAUGAUCUUGCUCAAAGGAAUUGAUUUUCUCUUCCAGUGUGGUUAAUCAGUCUGCUACUUUGUUAAUUUUCUGUUUGAUUUCUUUGGAGUGUUUGCUAAUCUCAAGUAUUAAUGUUUGCAAUUGAUUUUCUAUAUUUUGCUUCAUAAAUUCUUAUACAUUUUCUGGAGUUUCAUCCUCUUGAUCUUCUCUGGUCAACAUUAUAGACAUAUCAGAUGUAUCGUUUUCUGAUAAAUUUUUGGUAUUAAUUGGAGGAAAAAAAGCCUAAUAAUCUUUUCUCUGCUUUUUCAGCUUUAACAUUUUUCAUUUCUUUUUUCCUUUCAGUUGAUGUUUUUUUUUGUGGCCAUUAUUCAGUUUCUCCUCCGUUUCCUUUCUCUUUUCCCUUCAUUUUUUGAGCUUUGCUAUCUCCAACUCAAGUUUAAUAUGUUUUUUUUUUAGUGUAGUAUGAUUCUUUUAAAUUUAAUCCUUUCAAUUGAGCUGUCCAUUUAGAGAGAGGAGUGAAGAAAAAUAAAACACAACAGAAAAAAAAGAAAGGGAAAAACAAUACCAAAAGGUAGCAAAAGAGUAACAGUAAUGAAAUAUAUCCCCACUUUAACCUCUUUUUUUUCCUCCUCUAUAAUUUUUCUAUUACUCACAGACCUAAGUUCCUUUAUUUGAAAGAUAAAAGGGAUCCCCCUUAAUUCUCAGCAUGUGUAAUAAGCAGGUCCCCCCUUUCCAAGGGAAAGCAUGGGAUUUACUCCUCACUCCAGUUUGGUACAAUACCACAUCACCAGAUAGCCAGCCGUCGCCUGUCUGAAAUCCCACGUGCACCUACUGUUCAAGCCUGAGCUCCAAUUCUCCAGUCUUUGCUUACAGCCAAACCUCUGCCCAGUGACUCCCAGACAGGGGACUCUCCCAACUCAGGGGGAACACGAGGGUCACUCCUUCCUCUGGUCUGGCACAAAAUCACGGCACUGGAGAACCAGCAGUCGCCAACCUCCAGUCUCACGCACUCCUGCUACCCGAGCCUGGUCUCCUGUCCUCCUCUCACCGCCCACAACCGAGGUUCUGUUUCAUGUCUCUCAAAUGGUCUCACUUCACCUUAUCGCCGCACGGCAUUCUCAGCUCGGUGUCUUCCUUAUCCUGCUCCACCUUCUACCGCCUGUCAGCGUGAUGACCUUAUGUCAUGACGUUGUGACAAGAUGAUGAUAUUGCUGAAUUUGUAGGUUAAAAAAAACCCCUACAUUUAUUUUUGAGGGGCAAACAAACCGGUCUUAUCAAAAGGUUUUAUAGAUAACUAAAAAGUUUAAAGAUUUUUUUUUAAAUAGAAGUGUUUUUAUUAUUGUUGGAAUUGUAUGGGGUGUUUAUUAACCCCUCAAGGAUGGAGCCAAAUGUACACGUUGUGAACGAAACAAAAUGUAAACAAAACCUGGCAUGUGCGCUACAUGUCUGUCCAAUCGUAAUUCACCUCUUUCAUAUUAAAUGCACCCACCCUUAUUAUAUAUCAUUUUAUUCAGGGGAAACAGGGCUUUCAUUUAAUAUCAAAUAUUUAGCUAUGAAACAUAAUUUACUAUGAAAAAAAUGGGAGAAAAUAAGAUUUUUUUUUUUUUUUUUAGUUCAACAUGACACUUUAACUGUCAAUGUCAUAAUACUGUUUGCUUUUACUGCAAUAAAAUACACAUAUUUGUAUUCAGCGAUGUCUCACGUGUAAAACAGCACCCCCUAUGUACAGGUUUUAUAGCGUUUUGGGAAGUUACAGGGUCAAAUAUAGCACGUUACAUUUGAAAUUGAAAUUCGCCAGAUUGGUUAUGUUGCCUUUGGGACUUUAUAGUAGCCCUGGAAUGAAAUUUACACCCAUAAUGGCAUACCAUUUGCAAUAGAAGACAACCCAAGGUAUUGCAAAUGGGGUAUGUCCCGUCUUUUUUAGUAGCCAUUUGGUCACAAACACUGGCCAAAGUUAGCGUUAGAAUUUGUUUGUGUGUUAAAAAUGCAAAAAACGCCAAUUUUGGCCAGUGUCUGUGACUAAGUGGCUACUAAAAAAGACUGGACAUACCCCGUUUGCAAUACCUUGGGUUGUCUACUAUUGCAAAUGGGGUAAUUUUCAUUCUUGGGCUACCAUUGGGUCUCAAAGGCAAUGUACCCAAUCUGGCGAAUUUUAAUGUGAAAAAAAUGAAACACAAGCCUUAUAUUUGAUGCUGUAACUUUUGAAAACACCAUAAAACCUGUACAUGAGGGGUACUGUUGUACUCGGGAGACUUUGCUGAACACAAAUAUUUGUGUUUCAAAACAGUAAAAAGUAUCGCAGGAAUAAAAUCGUCCGUGUAAGUGCUGUUUGUGCGUGAAAAAUGCAAAAAAAUUCACUUUUACUUGCGAUAUCAUCGUUGUAAUACAUUUUACUGUAUUGAAACACUAAGAUUUGUGUUUAGCGAAGUCCCCCGAGUAGAACAGUACCCCCCAUGUACAGGUUUUAUGGUGUCUUGGAAAGUUAUAGGGUUAAAUAUAGUGCUAGCAAAUUAAAUUCCCUUUACUUUCGGCAUGGGUUGUCAGGCAGGUCCUGCUAAUUGUAAUUAAUUAAGAUACCCAAUUAUGUAAAAUGAUUACAUAAAUAUAUAUGUAGAGUCAAUAUAUGUAUAUAUAUAUAUAUAUAUAUAUAUAUAUGUGAAUAUAUAUGUAUAUAUAUAUAUAAUUUUUUUUAAAUAUUUGUAUUUAUAUAUAGGUACCGUAUAUAUAUAUAUAGUGAUAUGUACGUAUAUAUUUAUGUUUAUAGAUAUAUAUUAUUUCGUUCUACGUGUAUUUUGAUAUAAAUAUAUAUAUAUAUAUUAAUAUCACAAUACAGUUAGAACGAAAUAACACAUCUAUAUAUUUUUUAAUUAUUUUUUGUUUAUUAUUUAAAAUUUUUUAACGUAUUUACAUAUUUAAUUUUUUUAUAUUAUAUAUAAAUAUAUAUAUAACAAUAAUUAUAUAUAUAUUUAAUCAGUAUCAGUCUACGUGUAAUUUGAUAUUAAUAUAUAUAAAUAUAAUUAUAUAUAUAUUAAUAGUAAAAUACACCUGACAGUGUACGUGUGUGCAUGUAUAUGUGUAUAUAUAUACUUAGAUCAUAUAUAUAUAUUAUAUAUAUAUAUAUAUAAUAUAUAUAUAUAUGAUCUAAGUAUAUAUUAUUUUUUUUUACACUUUUUUUUAUUUUUAUUCUUUAUUUUUGAAUUCAGGCAUGGAGCUUCACAUAUCAUACAUGUAUCGUGUCAUCUUUACAAUACCAUGGUAACGAAUUACCCAGAUAUCCUUUCGGUAACAUAUCGCAUCAUAUGGAAUUAUCAAGCACUACAAUUAUCAAGCACUACACUCCUCUGAUUUUGCCCAUUUUCAGGAUGACCCGGUAUGUCUGGGUCUAUACAGCAGUUGAUUACACGUCAAUAUGUAUGUUAACCAUACGUUGUCUGUGCGGGUCUGUUAAAGGGCCUUCUAAGACAAGCCUAUACCUCGUUAUAUACGGUAUAUAUGCAUUUUUCUACUGCUGUGGGGCCUUGCUAUUCCCGUAUUGGUGGGGACUGCCCUUGCCCAUGAGAUGCCCGCUAUUCAGAGAGUCUGUCUUCCUAUCAGCUGUUGAAAUUAUAGCUCCAUACUGAACUUGUUUGUAAGGUAAAUGGGGGGGGAGUGGAGGGGGGGUGCAGGUAGGGUCAGGGCCAUACAGGAUACGCCCUCUGCUGGUGUGUCUCAUGGCGUCUGCGCCAUUCUGUCCACAUAGUCCUCCCAUGGUUGCCACACUUUUGAGAAGGUGCCCAUGGUAUUCCGAAUCUGCGCUGUCAAUUUGUCCAUUAGGCAGUUGUCUUUUAUUUUAUGGAUUACUCAGUGUAUAGAGGGGGCGUCCGGGCUGAGCCAUUGUUGGGUCAGCGCCCUUCUGGCCGCUAAGGUAAUUUUAUUAACUAGUUUCUGUUCUCUUGCCGUCAAGUCAUCUUGUGGUUUAGCUAGCAGGUAAGUCCAAGGGUCUUUGUGUAUUGGUCGUGCUAGUAUUGUCGUCAUCAGCUUCUCUAUGUCUGACCAGUAUCUGGCCACUUUGGGACAUGUCCACCACAUGUGGACGUAUGAUCCCCGCUGUCCGCAGCCCCUCCAGCAUGUGUCCGUGGUGGUUUUCCCCAUUUUAAAUAAUUUAGCUGGUGUGGUGUACCAUCUCAGGAGGGUUUUGUAUGCCUGUUCCUGAAGUGUUACACACACGGACACCUUCGCUACUGCUUCCCAUAUGUCCCUCCAGUCCUCCCCUUCCAGUGUCUGAUGGAGAUCCUGUUCCCAUUGGGUGACAUAAUUAAGGGGUGCUUCGUCUCUCCCCGGGGCGCUAAGUUGUGCAUAUAAUGUGGUGAUCAGGCCCUUAUGGGUUGAUUCGGUGAUACACAGUUUCUCAUAGCUAGUUAGUGGGGUCCUAGCUGCCUUUCGUAUUCCAGGGCGUGUCGCGAAAUCGUGUAGUUGGAUGUAUCUAAAUAGGUCUUUUGUUUGCAGCGGUGCAGUUUGUUUCAGCUCCUCAAACGAUUUAAAUGUGUCCCCAUCAUAUAAAUGGUAGUACCUUUGUAGGCCUGUGUAUUCCAACCCUUUAAAGUCUCGUGCCCGUAAGCCUGGAGGGAAUGCUUUAUUUCUUAGAUAUGGGGUGAGGGGUGAGGGAGUGCUGGUCAGUGCGUAUUUAUGUGCGGUUGCAUCCCAGACUCUGAUGGAGUUAGUUAUGGCUGGGCAGCUUGUGCGCAGGGCAGGUCUGUCUAAUUUUGGAACCCAAAUCCAAUAUUGAGGGAGAUCUGAUCCCAUCAUUAGGGACUCCAAGUCUACCAUCUGCGUGCCUCAGGGGGUGAGUGCCACUCUAUUAUUUGGGCUAAUUGCGCUGAUAGAUAGUAUAAGUGGAAGUUAGGCAGACCCAAUCCCCCCAGUCCUUUAGGUCGGUAGAGAGUGUUUCGGGCUAUUCUAUGCCGUUUGUGCGUCCAUAUAAAUUUGUCUAUUGUGGUUUGUAGGAGCUGGAGAUCCCCUUUUGUAACUUUGAUGGGCAGCGCCUGGAACAGGAACAGCAUCCUCGGUAAGACAUUCAUUUUGAUAGCAUGGAGCCUACCAAUCCAUGAGAUCGGCUUUUCAUGCCAUUUUUCCAGGUCUUUAAUUAAUGUUUUUAUCAUUGGUGUGUAAUUUUCCUGAAAUAGUCGUGUGAUGUCCGUCGUUAAUCGUACUCCCAGGUAUUUUAUGUGCUGGUGGUUAAGUUUAAUGUGUGUCUUUGUCCCCAGCAGCGCCGCGUCCUCUGCCGUCAGCCCCAGCGGCAUGGCCCCCGAAUUUCCCAGAUUUAUAUUAUAGCCCGACACUUGCGCAAAUUCCCCCAAUAGGUGGAUCAGGUUUGGGAGGGAGCUUUUCACAUCUGUGAGCGUUAGUAGGAUAUCAUCCGCAUAUGCGGAUACCUUAAAUUGUUCUGUGGCUACUGUCAGCCCCGUUAUUUUGGGGUGUUCCCUGAUCUUGUGCAGGAGGGGUUCUAGGGCCAGUAUAAAGAGAAGUGGCGAGAGCGGGCAGCCCUGUCGUGUGCCAUUGCUUAGUUUGAAUGGUUUCGGAGUCGCUCCUGGUAUGGCGAUCUGAGCCUGUGGGUUCGUAUAUAAUGCUCUAACCGCUGUAAUGUAGUUGUCUAGUAGGCCGAUAUGGCGCAAGAGGGCGAACAAAUAAUGCCAUUGGAUCCUGUUGAAGGCCUUCUCCGCGUCCAACGAAAGGACCAGAGAAGGCGUUCGAGUCUGCCCGGCCCACCAGAUCAGGUCCACCACCCGCCGGGUGUUGUCGUAGAGUUGCCUGGUAGGUACAAAGCCCACCUGGUCCGCAUGGACCAAUCUGGGCAGAAUAUGUCCCAGCCUGGUGGCCAGGAUUUUAGCGUAUAUUUUAGUGUCAACAUUGAUUAGGGAAAUGGGGCGGUAAUUAGUAACUUUCGUUUCGUCACGCCCCGGCUUUGGGAUUAGUAUCACCGCCGCCGUGGCCAGCUCCACGUUGGGUCGCCCCCCUUCCAUCCAUUCCUGGUACAUUGCUGUCAGGUGUGGUACCAGUUCUGCAUGUAGUGUUUUAUAAUAGACCCCAUCGAAUCCAUCUGGACCCGGAGCUCUAUUGCCCUCUAUCACCCCUAUAGCCCUUUCCACCUCCUCUAUUGUGAUGGGUGCCUGCAGUUCAAUGACGUCUUCCCUAGUGGGCAUGGGGAGGUUAACCCCUCCAGGAAUCUCGCCACCUCCUCUACAUGUUCCUGUUCGUGCCGUCCAGUCCGGGCGAGUGGUUAUAUAGUUUUUGUAAAAAGUUUGUGAAUUCCUCUGCAAUUGCCUGUGGGGAUGUGAGGGUUUGGCCCCUGUCGUUGGUGACGGACGUAAUGUGCUUGUGUUUUUGUUUGGGUCUGAGGGCCCUAGCUAACAACGUGUCCAUCUUGUUGGACUUUUCAUAGAAGAGUCUUCUUGAACGGGUGAGAUCCCUGCUCACCUCGUCCAAGAGGAGGUCUCUCAGGGUACGUCUGAUAUUCUGUAUUUCGUCCAGCUUGUUCUGUGUCGGGUUCUGUUUAUGUUGCAUUUCCUUUGUGCGCAGUGCCGUCUGCAGUUCUGUGAGUUUGGCUAAUUUUAGUUUUUUAAGGUAAAUCGCUAUUUUUAUUAUGGUCCCCCUGAGAACUGCCUUAUGGGCCGCCCAUAUUGUGGUCGAGGAUACGUCCUCCGUGGCAUUUAGCUGAAAGUAGUUGGUUAUUUCAGUCUGGAGCUGUCCAAGGACCUCCGAGUUCUUAAGAAGGGAGUUAUUUAGUCUCCAGCUCCCCGGGGUCUGAGGUCCUGGUGUCUUCAGGGUUAGUGUGAUGUCAGCUAUAUAUUUUUUUUUUAUAUAUAUAUAUUUUUUUUUAAUAGAUACCCCCUGCCGUUUCCCCCCCUCCCACCGUCUCCUAGUGCCGUGACCCCCGUGCCCCAGCUGUCCCCCAUGUCAUAACUGUAAUGUCAGCGUUAGUGUUCUAAGUAAAACAUUUUUAAAGUCAGCAUGCAAUAAUAAAAGCAACUUGCGUGUCCCACUGUCCAUGACGUGUGUCUUUCCAUCACGGGCCUCCACCGCGUCUGCCUAGGUGGGGCGCGACCCAUGCUCUGCCCAGUCCCUGGGAAGGAGGUCCAGUGCCCUGGGGCCUCUCGGUGGCAGGGUGAGAUCAUCUGGUACUUGGAUCCCCAGGUCACGAAGGACCCCCCUGGGGUCCAUGGACGGCAACAGGACUGUAGGUCUCAGGCCAUUGAAGAUCAGCAUUUUAAAGGGGAAUCCCCAGGCGAAGCGUAGGCCUUUUUCUCUGACGAGGUCCGCGAUGGGUUUCCAUUCCCUCCUUCUCACCAGGGUCGCUGGGGCGAUAUUUUUUUACACUUUUAACAUUUAUUUGAAAUUAUUUUCAGCCAGCAGGGGGACCACCUGUCAUUACAGGCAGCCCUCCUGCUGGCAAUACAGAAGCCAGCUAUCCCGGCCAUGUGAUUGUGAGGUCCUCGCAAGGACCUCACUCUCACAUGGCCAAGGGGGCUUUCAGGGGGUCGGAAGUGUCACGGGGGGCUCCCUGGGAGUCCCCCCAACCGGGAUCGCCGGCGACAGUGUAAGUAAAGAAAGACCGGAGGGCGUACUAUUACGCCCGGCGGCGUUUAGAGACGCCUAAAAUAGGGCGUAAUAGUACGCCCUCCGGUCUUAAGGGGUUAAAUACCAGAAAAGAUAAAAAGAUUGGAAAAUUUAAAUAAUUGAAAACAAAAAAGAAACACAAAAUAUAAACUUGUAAUAUGAAACAUAUAAUGUAUUAAUUAACUCGCCUGUGUGGAUAAGAAAUAUGUUGGAAAAAUCUCAAGAUUAUUGAAAAGAAAAGUUAAGAAGCAUACUGGCAAUAUUAGGAGGAGAUUAGGAGUUAAUAAAGAAUUAAAUCUAAGAAAAAUAGCAAUGAAAUGGAUAUUAAAUUUGGGCACUAUAAUACCAAAUGGUUUAAAGUUGAUUGUGGGAAGUAAUGCCAUUUGUAUAAAUUUACUCUCAACUUUUAUUAUAUUUUAUAUAGUUUAUACAUUUUUUUCAAUUUAUAUUUUUUUAUUAUAGCAUAGCUAGGUGUACAGGUAUGAUACAACCUUUCUCCAAACACUGGCCCAUACUUCUACACAAUUCCACACUGAAACAGUCAUUACCUAACCAUCCAUCAAUUACAGCUCGAAGAUCUAAGAAUUUAAAAGACCUUUUGGGGGGCGGGGCCAGACCCUGGAACUGAUUGGCAGCCAUCUUUGAGAGCUCCUGCCAAAAAAAAGCACAAAAUUAGGCAAUUUCCUCACGUUUUUACCGGCUUGCAUGACAGAAGCACACAGGGGAAUACCCCUGCUUUCAACUGAUGCCCAUCCGCUACCGACUUACCUUAGGAAAAACCUAUACGAGCAUCUCAGGCCUACAUCCCACGCUUACAAUGGUGGACCGGAUCUGGCGGGUCUAGAGGGGGCCUCUAGGCUCCAACUGACCCACCCUGAUUGCUGAGCGGCAACACAGAUGCGAAGAUGUAACAGCCUUGUGAGGGUAUGAAUCCCGGCCCCGCUCCCCCCCCCAAGCCGGUGGGGGUUAUCCUGGCCACCUGUACAUUCAUUGCCACUGCUAACUUUACUCCCGUGGUGAGCCCUGCAUUCACCUUGAACCUGAAUGCCUCAUCCAGCAAGGAAUGCACACCAGUGCUACAUUGGCACUUGGAGGACAAAGGGGGAGCCGGAGGCACUACGCAUGGGUGGCGGGACCUGACAUGCAAUUACUGUGGCGUCCAUGGAUCCGACUGCCAUGAAGUCUGGACCCCGAGUCUGCGCCAUGCUGGGAGUGUGGAGCCGUCGCACCUAGGUUUUGAGGGGGACCUGGAUGAACUUGUCCCCAAAGCCGUGAGCCCUGGGGGACCAGAAAACGAAAACGGAGGCCUCCAGCAGACCGGUAGCUGUGAGGACAGCCAAAGCUGGCCCUGAGCGGCCGGAGAUGGAAGAGACAAUUGACGGCCUACAUCUUACCCUGCUGGAGAUCUUGUGGUGUGGUGGGGGUGCAGGAGACACCCAGUGCAUGGACUUUAGAGGGGGGGUCCUGUGGACUGGUGGGUUUCCGAGUGCCUGCUGAGCUAUGAGACUCUCGGCUGGAGGCCUGGUGCGGCCUUGGGAACUGCUGACGGAUGGCCGGGGGCCCUGGGGUGUCCCGUGGGGGUGCAUAUGGCUGGUCUCCUGCCUGUGCGCUCUCCGCCUGCUGCUCCCCCUGCUGUGCAUGGGACAGGACACAAGCAUGAAGGAAAGACCAUUGCACAUGUCAUCUUUGCAAUUGAUUUAACUACCUAACCCAUUUUUACUUUGGCGUGAUGGAACGCCUGGGGACAAGUGCACAGCAACAGACCCAAGGGAGCUUAGAGGGAAACCUUCUCCGAAGCUCACACGAGGGUCUUCACGUACUCCCUACACCCCAUUCUUGACUCUGCCGAGAGUCCAGAACUUUACCUUCUACUUCUUUUCAACUUAAAUGUAUUUAUUUUUUUUCACUUUAAACAAGUACAAAUCCUUAGGUUACACUUCCUGGGGCUGGCUCAGGUUCUGAGUUAUUAGUUAAAAAUGCAGGAAUAAGAGUUUGGUUACUAUGUUUAACUUGAAGUAAAAAUGCAGGAAUAAGAGUUUGGUUACUAUGUUUAUCUUGAAGUAAACUACCAUGGCCCAGCUAUAUAGCCUAACAAUGCACUAAAUAACAGAGUUGGAUUAUGAGGACCCACAUAGUAAGCUCAUUGCCUAGACAACCCUGACACAAAAGGUCAAUAUAGAUAACACGCUGCCUUAUUACCCUGAUUAGCCAUUUACAUACACUCAGGUAACGCUGGCGGACGAUAGCUUACGUAUUGCCUCAUCUGUAAUACACGCAGACCCCGAGGUCAGGUUGCUACCCUAGAGUAUGCAGUUUUAUUAUUAUUAGCACAUUCUCUGACACAAGCACCCGCCUCCCUGGGACACCACCACCCUCCCCACAAGUGACAACUUUGAUUUAUAUGCCCACAUAGAACUAAACCAGAGCAUGGCUCUAUAUAUCCUUUUUGAUGGUAUUCCAGGCGGAAAUAGGAUAUAAGACAUUACGAAUAAUUAUGCCCUAACACCCUAUGCUCUCGCCCACUUGCUACCUUAGCCUAUCAAUGCACUCACUAAUAAAGUUAGAUUACGAAGGAACACAUAGUACCGCCACCACCUUAAGAACUUUAUACAUUUAUUAACUACAGCUACCAUAACUUGUAUAAUACCUUAAUACCAUCAUGACAUUGCUAUGCACCUAGGCUGGGUCCAGAGAGAAUGGCUUGUGCUACCUUUCCACGGUAUCAUAUAUAGAAACGGGAGAACUGUAGCUUCGCUCACCUAUGCCGUAUGGCAUUUUAGCUAUUACUUUUCAUUUCUAUACCUGCUUCGCCACAGUAGCUAAGUUUUAGAAUGUUAUCUAUGUCUUCUGACUAUCCUGAUAUAACAUAACCUAUUGUAAGCAAUUAUACAUUUAAAAUUGUCCAUGCACACUGGUAUACCCCAUUGUUAUAUGUUGCUAAUUUGCUUGAGGAUUGCCGCUGGGGUACCUCACGCUUGUAUGUUAUUCUCGAUAUGCACUGCACAAAUAAAGAAGUAAAAAAAAUAAUAAUAAAUAAAAAUAAAAUACCGUAUAUACUCGAGUAUAAGCCGACGCGAAUAUAAGCCGAGGCUCCUAAUUUUACCACAAAAAAAUGGGAAAACGUAUUGACUCGAGUAUAAGACUAGGGUGGGAAAUGCAGCAGCUACUGGUAAAUUUCUAAAUAAAAUUAGAUCCUAAAAAAAUUAUAUUAAUUGAAUAUUUAUUUACAGUGUGUGUAUAUGAUGAAUGCAGUGUGUGUGUAUGAAUGCAGUGUGUGUGUAUGAGUGCAGUGUUUGUGUAUGAGUGCAGUGUGUGUGUGCAUAAAUGCAGUGUGUGUAUGAGUGCGCAGUGUGUGUAUAAAUGCAGUGUGUGUGUAUGAAUGCAGUGUUUGUGUAUGAAUGCAGUGUUUGUGAAUGAGUGCAGUGUGUGUGCAUAAAUGCAGUGUGUGUGCAUGAAUGCAGUGUGUGUAUGAAUGCAGUGUGUGUGUAUGAAUGCAGUGUGUGUGUAUGAAUGCAGUGUGUGUGUGUAUGAAUGCAGUGUGUGUAUGAGUGCAGUAUGUGUAUGAGUGCAGUGUGUGUAUGAAUGCAGUGUUUGUGUAUGAGUGCAGUGUGUGUGCAUAAAUGCAGUGUGUGUAUGAGUAUGCAGUGUGUGUAUGAGUGCAGUGUGUGUAUGAAUGCAGUGUGUGUAUAUGAGUGCAGUGUGUGUGUAUGAAUGCAGUGUGUGUGUGUGUGAUGCAGUGUGUGUUUGUGUUGCAGAGCCUUGGUGGGGGGUGGGCAUUUUUAUAAAAAUUUUUUUAUAUUAUUUAAAUUUUUUUUGUUAUAUUAUUAUUUUUUUGUAUUAUUAUUUUUAUUAUUAUUUAUAUAUUAUUAAUUUAUUUUUCGUCCCCCCCUCCCUGCUUGAUACAUGGCAGGGAGGGGGGCUCUCCUUCCCUGGUGGUCCAGUGGCAUUGGCAGUUCAGUGGGGGGAGGAGGGGGGCUGGCAGAGCUGUUACUUACCUCUCCUGCGGCUCCUGUCAGCUCUCUCCUCCUCCGCGCCGGUCCGUGCAGCUCUUCUGUCAGCUCACACUGUAAGUCUCGCGAGGACCGCACUAUGACCCCGCGGCUCUCGCGAGACUUACACUGGGAGUUGACCGAGGUGCUGACCGGACCGGCGGGGAGGAGGAGAGAGCUGACAGGAGCCGCAGGAGAGGUAAGUAACAGCUCUGCCAGCCCCCAGUUUGUAUUAUGGCAAUGUAAAUUGCCAUAAUACAGACAGUGACUCGAGUAUAAGCCGAGUUGGGGUUUUUCAGCACAAAAAAUGUGCUGAAAAACUCGGCUUAUACUCGAGUAUAUACGGUACCUUUUGGUUGAUAGCCAUUUAGCUCCCAUUCCAUUGAAACCCAACUGGCUUACAAACACCAAGGAAACAUAUAGAUGUGGCCAUUGUAAGGCCUGUCAGUUCAUCACCCCCUCACAAUCUACCACAUCAACACAGUUAAUAUCACCAUCAAAACCAACGCUUUGGUGAAUUGCAGUACUACCCGAUUAAUAUAUCUAAUUACAUGCAAGUGUGGUAUUCAGUAGAUUGGGAAGACCUUCCAACCAUUCCGUCGGAGGAUUCUCCAACAUGUGAAUUUUCACCAGGGUAAUGCUGAUAAUCUGAGGUUUCAAGCCAUUGAAAAAUUGGCACCAAAUCCCAGGAAAGGGAAUUUCAACCAACAGUUACUCCAAAAGGAAUCACAUUCAGAACUUUGACCCCACAGGGACUUAAUGUGGAGUUUAAUUACAGCCCUUUCAAACACUGAUAAAAUUAUUCACCUCAAACUCCUUAUACCCUUUGAUACAAUUUGAUACAUAUACAUAUAUUUUUUGACAAUUGGGCCUUUAAUUGGCACAUAGAAACAAUUUAUAAUGACAUGUAUAUAUGUACAUACUCAUAUUAUUCUCUUCAUCUUAAUAAGUUCAUUAUUGUCUCUAUCAUAUACACAGAAUUACUUGUAUUGGUGAUAUGACAUCUUACAUUAAAUUAAAUUAUUAGCAGCGCUCCUUUAAUUUUGUUUUAUUUAUUUAUUUUUCUUUAACUCAUAUUAAUGCUGACUACUACUGAUGUAUAUAUAUAUUUUGCUUCAUCUAUCUGUCAUUCCACUGUGACCCCUUUAUAAGCUUAUCACGGUGGAUUGACAUAUUUAAAAAUGCAGAAUUAGCUAAAAAAUAUUUUUUUCUGCAUAAUGUAUUGCAAGACAUAUGAUCCAUUUAAAUGCUUAUUACAGUGGGUAGUGAUCCCUUAAAUGCCUUUUGCAGUGGAUAUGAUACCUUUAAAUUCUUACUGCAGUGGAUUGAUAUAUAAAUCAUCUAAUAGGGUAGAAUAAUUAUAAUAAUAACCUCCUGCAUUAUCUGUUGCAUAUAAUAUAACACCAGUAGCUUAUGCCAUCAAUGUGGUAAUUACAACUUAUGAUUUAACAUCUCUUGGAAACAGAGCUUUUGUGGUCCUUUCUGACCACCAUCUCUCGUCAGUAACAACUGAUGAUGUCAUCUUUUCUAAUCACCAAUCAGCAUUUUGAGCGCCUUAUUUACACUCUCACCAACAGGGAUUGAGUUCCCCUUGAAAAGCCGCCUUACUGGCGAAACGCGCGUCAUAUUUUUUGUAUAGCUAUCACUAUUGUAUUUUUCACUAUUAAAAGUUAUGUUUUAAUUACUUUAUUCACAGCAGUGUUCCUCCUCUUUUUUCUCUUCAUAUUCUAUUUAGGGUUAACCCCUUCACUGCCCUACCAAUUUACCUUAUACUAGGCUUCCACUUUGUUAAUUUUCAUACACGGCUUUUAUGCCCAGUCCCAUGCAAAGGGUUUCACAAGCAGAAAAUGCAAGGGAUCCAAACAAGAUCCUCAGUGCCUGAGAGAUAAUUGCCUGAGUAAACUCAUCUAAUUUGAUUAUAUCCCAGGCACAGAAAAUCAACCAAAUAUUCUGUACCCCAAAAGUACCCCAACCAUACAUAGUAACCCCAGAAAAAGUACAUUCCCUGGUAGCCCGGAUCUGAGUGACCAACAUAUCCAAGAAUCACUUAGAUUGGUUCAGCAGAACCCUUGGUAACCUAAGGGGGGAUAAAGAAUAAUAGUGUGAAAUGUCUAAAAAUGACGUGAGUGGAAUAGCUCAAUAGGAAUUCACUCACGUGGUUCUGAGCCUAAAAAGGACAGGCUCAGAUCACUCAAGCGGACGUGUAUUUGAGGAGACACGAAUCCUUUAGGUUAUGUUGCUUAUAUUCUUCCUCUGUAAAGGUAACAAAUACCGAUAUCUAGUGUAGUAAGUCCAAGAUACCAAUGUAUAUAGGUGAAUAAAUAAAACUGCUCACCUUACAUAGAACCUUUUUUUUAAAUUACUUAACAAGGAUCCAACCAAUUAAAUUAAAAUCAGCUAUCACGUAUUGAUAGAGAGAGGUAAAUUGCACAAUAUAUUAAAUAAAAAAAGAAUAUGAAUUCUUAAGUAUAUCACAUCCCAAAGUACCAGUAUUCUAUUUUCUUCCAAAGAUUCACAAGGACAUCAAAAACCCUCCAGGAAGGCCAAUAAUAUCAGGGAUUGGAUCAGUAUCCAGCCGAUUAUCACAAUAUAUAUACAUUUACAACAGAUAGUCCGAAAGUGCCCUAGCUAUCUCAAAGACACAAUCAGCAUCUUACAGGUCCUUGAGAACAUUGAGUGGGAGGAGAAUUUUUAUCUCGUUACAUCAGAUGUAACCUCCCUCUAUACCAUAAUCCCUCAUGAUAGGGGCUGCCAGGCGACAAAGGAAUUCCUGGAUAAAUUCCAGGAUUUGCAUCCUGACCAGGUUAACUUUAUCAUUGAAGGGAUUGAGUGGAUACUUCUACAUAAUUAUUUUUGGUUCGGCAAUAAUUUUUACCUCCAAACAUGUGGAACUGCGAUGGGCAUGAGGUUUGCCCCCAGUUAUGCCAACCUCUUUAUGUCCCAUUGGGAACAGAAGUUCAUCUAUGAGGAUGGCAGAUGGGGGUCGAACCUCGUGAUCUAUCGCAGGUAUAUUGAUGUUUUAUUUUUUAUUUGGAAGGGAGAUGAGGAAUCCCUACAAUUAUUUUUAGCUCAUCUCAAUUCGAACGACUGGGGUAUCAAACUAACCACACAUUUCAGCAAAUCACAGGUCAAUUUUUUAGACUUGAAUAUUUAUGUAGAGAACCAGACACUUAAGACUAAUACCUUUUUAAAAAAAGUAGAUGUCAAUAGUUAUAUACAGGAAAACAGUUGCCAUUUUUCACCUUGGCUUUUGAAUGCCCCAAGAGCACAAUUGCUCAGAAUAAAGCGCAACUGUACGGAGGAAUCUAUGUUUCAUGAACAAGCACAAAUAAUUAUAAAUAACUUCAAAGAAAAAGGUUAUAAAGAUGAACUGCUAAAUGUAGCAUAUAACACAUGGUCUGUUAUAUGUUGGACGUACCAUGCGCCUCCUUAAUGUACGUAUACAAGAACAUAUUAGAAAUAUAAAAAAUGGGUUCGAUAAACACAGUUUAUCAUCACACUUUUUUAAAAAACAGAACAAAGAUCGCAAUAAUCUAAAAUGUAUGGGUAUAUACAAAUUAACACCAAAUUGGAGAGAAGACCUGAUAAAAUGCUUAGGACAAAUGAAAAUGAGAAGUGUAACGGCUACCCAGGUAGUAAGUGUAACGAGAAUAUACCCCUACACGCAGGAUCCAGCUAAACAGAGGCAAAUACAGAGGAGAGAUACGUCUACCGGACCUUAGAAUGGCCGGACUCGACGUAUAUGAGAGGAGACAGAGCCAGGAACAAACUGAGGUCAAGGGCACAGAGAGACAGCGUAAACUAGGACAAGCCGGGGUCUGGUACACGGAAAACAGCAAGCCGGCAAACAGUACAGAUAAGGAUAAAGCGAAAACGAAGUCAGAAUACGAAGCCAAAGUCAAUACGAGAAAACACAACUGAACACCACAAGCGCUAAAGGGAACUGAAACAGAAACCACGAUAGGGCAACGAGCUAAGGGAAAAAGGUAAGUUUAAAUAGCUUUUAAACGAAAGUGAUUGGCUCCUGUCACUUCCACACCCCCUAUAGGUAAUUGUACAGGGAGUGUGGUAUGACAGGAGCCAAUGGGAGCCUUUUGGCAAUUAGGCUCCCACUGUCUCUUUAAGAGCGCGCCCGAGACUCGCGGCGCGCUCUUAGUUUCAGGCGGGACACGUGACCGCUUCACGCGGUCACUGCCCGCCUUCCAUCUAAAGUAGUCGGAUGAGCCGCGCGCGGCUCGUGCAGCCGCAGGACCGCGCGCGGCUUGAAGAGAGGACCGCGACCGGCCCCCGGUUAAGGUAAGUAACGCUACAGUACCCCCCCCUGAGGACACGCCCCCCGGGCGGGUAGGACCAGGCCUGGCAGGAUAACGAGAAUGGAAAGAGCGCACAAGACGGGGAGCAUGGACAGCAUCAGCCGAAAUCCAACUGUGCUCCUCAGGUCCAUAACCCUUCCAAUGUACCAAGUACUGAAGUCGACCCCUAAGGAAACGAGAGUCAAGAACAGCAGACACUUCAAACUCCUCAUGACCCUCCACCGAGAUAGGAGGGGGAGGAGGAGUAUGCCGGGUAUAGCGGUUGCGUACGAAAGGUUUCAACAAUGAGGUGUGAAAAACAUUAGGAAUACGUAGAUUCUUAGGCAGGCCUAAGGCAUAAGAAACAGGAUUAACCUUAUGUAUAAUACGAUAAGGUCCAAUGAAGCGGGGAGCCAAUUUCAUAGAAGGCACCCGGAGACGAAUAUUCCGCGUGGAAAGCAAAACCCUGUCCCCCACAACAUAGGACGGAGCUGCUCUGCGAUGCUUGUCAGCCUGAGCCUUCUGGCGAGUAGCAGAGUCCACCAAAGAACGCUGAACCUGCUCCCAAGUAUUACGCAAACCAGCCAAAUGCUCAUCCAGAACUGGCAUGCCCUGUGAGGAGAAUGCAGCCGGAAGAACAACGGGAUGCUGGCCAUAGACAACGUAAAAAGGGCUCUUGCCGGAAGAAUCAUGAGUGGCGUUAUUCCGAGCAAAUUCAGCCCAAGGAAGCAGGUCAGACCAAUUGUCCUGAUGGUGAGACACAAAACAACGGAGGUAUUGCUCCAGAGACUGGUUGGCACGUUCAGCAGCCCCAUUAGACUGGGGAUGAUAAGCGGAAGAAAAUGAGAGAGAAAUACCCAUUUCUGAACAAAAGGCCCUCCAGAACCUGGAAAUAAAUUGGCUACCCCUAUCGGAUACAAUAGAUACGGGAAUCCCAUGUAAUCGAAAUACUUCUCUAGCGAAGAUAUGAGCCAGUUCCUUGGAUGUGGGCAACUUGUGAAGAGACACGAAGUGAGCCAUUUUGGAGAACCGAUCCACUAUCAUCAGGAUUACUGUGUUACCAUUUGAAGGGGGUAAUUCAACAAUAAAAUCCAUGGACAGGUUAGACCAAGGUCUCUCGGGAACGGGUAACGGAUGCAACAGCCCACAAGGAACUCUACGGGAGGAUUUCAUACAGGCACAAGUAGUACAAGCACUUAUAUAGUCAGUGACAUCCUUUCGUAAGGAAUCCCACCAAAAAUACCGAGAAACAGCUGACACCGUUUUGGAAAUACCAGGAUGUCCAGCAGUCUUAGUAUCAUGAUAUAAUGACAUAAUCUCCCGUCUCUCAGGAACAUCAACGAACAGUUUAUCAUUAGGCCUCUCGCUAGGUGCCAUGCUUUGUUUCGCUUGUAUGGCCUGCAAGAGGGACGAGGAAAUAGACAAAAUAGUAGUAGCUAUUAUCCUGUCUGGGGGAAUGACAGGAGUAACAUCAAUCUCCUGUUUGUCAGUAGUUUCGAACUGUCUGGACAGAGCGUCUGCUUUAGUGUUGCGAUCACCUGGCCUAUAGGUGAUAAUAAAAUUGAAACGGGACAAAAAUAGUGACCACCUAGCCUGCCUGGAAGACAAUCUUUUGGCUUCGCUAAGGUAGGACAGGUUCUUGUGAUCCGUAAAAAUGAGGAUAGGAUCCUUAGUUCCUUCUAACAAAUGUCUCCACUCUUUAAGUGCUAAAAUAAUAGCAAGGAGUUCGCGAUUACCCACAUCAUAAUUUUUCUCUGCUUUGGACAUUUGUUUAGAAAAGAAGCCGCAUGGAUGCAAUGGCUUUUCAGGCGACUCUCUUUGGGAUAAGACAGCACCUACCCCAAUAUCCGAAGCAUCAACUUCAAGAAUAUAGGGCAGUGAGGGGACAGGAUGCUGUAAAAUAGGUGCAGAGGCGAACGUAGUUUUAAGAAAUUCAAAAGCCUGAAGUGCCUCGGUAGACCAAACACGAGUAUUGCCAUCCUUUUUAGUCAUACGGGUAAUAGGUGCUACAAUGGACGAGAAACCUUUGAUAAAACGUCUAUAAUAAUUGGAGAACCCAAGAAAACGCUGAAUAGCUUUCAGACCUUGUGGUAGAGGCCAUUCUAUUACAGCAGCAAGCUUCUGGGGAUCCAUACGAAAACCUUUAGCGGAAAUCAAAUACCCCAAGAACUGGACUUCGGUUUGGUCAAACAGACAUUUUUCUAGCUUGCAAUAAAGACCAUUAGCAAGAAGGGUCUUCAAAACUGUCGUAACAUGUCUGUGAUGAGUGUGUAUAUCUGUAGAGUAUAUUAAAAUGUCGUCCAAGUAUACGAUAACAAAUGUGUGAAUAAAAUCUCUUAAGACAUCAUUAAUAAAUUCUUGGAAUACUGCUGGGGCAUUGCAAAGCCCAAAUGGCAUAACAGUAUAUUCGUAAUGACCGGAUCUAGUGUUGAAUGCAGUCUUCCAUUCGUGAUUUUCCUUUAUACGUAUCAAAUUGUAUGCACUCCUAAGGUCUAAUUUAGUGAACACAGUGGCAUGUUUCAGCCUGUCAAAUAAUUCUGUAAUUAAAGGUAUAGGGUAUGCAUUUUUGAUAGUGAUUUUGUUUAGACCUCUAUAAUCUAUACACGGUCUUAAAUCACCUUCUUUCUUCGAUACAAAGAAGAACCCUGCUCCAGCUGGAGAAGAGGAUCUCCUAAUAAACCCCUUUUCUAAUGAUUCCUUAAUAUACUCCUCCAUGACACGGUUUUCUUGAACCGAUAAGGGGUACACCCUGCCCUUUGGAGGUAUAGUGCCAGGCAACAAGUCAAUAGCGCAAUCAUAGGGUCUGUGAGGCGGUAAUUUCUCAGCCUCCCUUUUAUCGAAAACAGUCUUUAGAGAUAAAUACUGAGGGGGUAUAACCGUAGACAAAGGAGGACUGGUAGGUACCUCAAUAGAAUUCAAAGGUGUGACUUCCAACGUACAAGACUCGUGGCAGGUCUCACUCCAUGAUUUUAUUUGCCCUGUCUCCCAGUCAAAAAUGGGAUUGUGAGCACGUAACCAUGGAUACCCUAAUACUAACUGUGAAGAGGGAGAGGAGAUGACCUGGAAUCGAAUGGUUUCAUAGUGUAAAACCCCUGUGUACAUGUGUAAUGGUACAGUCUCAUGAGUAACAACUGGAGAACUUAAUGGUCUACCAUCUAUGGCCUCAACGGCCAAGGGUAUCUCCUUCUCUCUGAUGGGAAUGUUGUUUCUCUUUAUAAAGCCAGAGUCUAUAAAAUUUUCAGCUGCCCCAGAGUCAACCAGAGCAUAUAUGUUGUCAACUAUACAAAUCUCUCCCAUAUAUAAAGAAACCGGGAGAAGCAAGCGGUUAGGAGGCAAUUUAGGAGACUUAGAUAUCACACCCAAGGCCAGUCCCCUAUAAGGUCUUAGGUGCGAGAGUUUUCCGGGAGUAAAGGACAUUCCUUUACCAUAUGGUCUCUCCUACCACAGUAUAGGCAGAGUCCCUCCCUUCUCCUAUGUAAUUUCUCAGUAUCAGAGAGUUUGGCAACCCCUAAUUGCAUAGGUUCCUCCUCAGACACUUUAACACUCUCUGGUAUAUUAACUCUGGGGUUAAUGGGUGUAACAAAACGUCUAUUCCUGUUCUUGGUAUAGAGCCUGUCACGAAUUCUAUUAUCUAUAUCAAUGAGGUAAUCGAUAAGGUCCUCUAAGGCAAUAGGAAGCUCCUUAGCUGCUACCUCAUCCAAUAUCGUAUCUGACAAACCUUCCAUAAAGGCAGUAGUUAACCCAUUGUUGGUCCAAUCUACCUGCGAAGCAAGAGUGCGAAACUGAAUAGCAUAAUCAGCCACAGACCUAGAACCCUGUUUAAUUCUCAUUAAUGCUCUCGCGGCAUUCUUUGACCUUUUCAUUGUGUCAAAAGUUCUACGAAAAGCCGUAAGAAAACUGUUGAAAUCAUGUACCAUAGGUCCAUUAGCUUCCCAAAUAGGAUUUGCCCACUCAAGUGCCUUAUCGGUAAGUUGGUGCAUAAAGAACCCAACCUUAGACCUCUCUGUGGGAAAUGAACGUGGAUACAUUUCGAAGUGGAAUUCAAUUUGAUUAAUAAACCCUCUGCAAGUCUUAGAGUCCCCUCCAUACCUAGGAGGAGGUGUUAAAUGGGCCGAAGUAUUAGGCAAAGUAGAUACUUCAGGGAGAAGGGGCGUAGGAGGGUUAGGUGUGGUUGCUGGAACGGUUCUAGCUAGGAGCGCCUGGAGAGCCUGGGCUAUCUGAUCCAUACGGUGAUCCUGCUCUACAAAUCUUGCCUCAUGGGACGCCAUCUGUUGAGCUAAAUCUGCGGGGUCCAUGGCCCCAUCGUAAUGUAACGAGAAUAUACCCCUACACGCAGGAUCCAGCUAAACAGAGNNNNNNNNNNNNNNNNNNNNNNNNNNNNNNNNNNNNNNNNNNNNNNNNNNNNNNNNNNNNNNNNNNNNNNNNNNNNNNNNNNNNNNNNNNNNNNNNNNNNUGAAGUGCCUGUGUCACCUAACAACUAAUAAUCGAGAGAUUAAAUAAAAUAAAUAUAAAAUUUACUUUCUCAUCCCUCAAGUCAGGUGUUUGUAAAAAAACAAAACAAAAUUAUAUUUUGUGAGCUUUGAGUUGGUGCUUAGUGAUUGAGUGCAUUGGAUUAUGUAUGUUAAGUUAAUUGGUCCCAACAGCACCUUUAUAAUAUAUGCAUGUUGAAAUUAGUGCAGCCUUCUUGGUUUCACAUAUAUGUUUUGGGAGACCAUGCCAUCUCCCUGGAUUUUCCACUUCUCCUUGUCACAGGUGCCUCAUUCCAGGGUCCUAUUUAGCCUUGCAAUCCACACAGCUCCACCAAGAUUGAUUCCCAAGUAAGUGGGAACACUUUACACAUUACUAUUCAUACAGAUAUUUCUUAUAGAGGGCUAUCAUGACAGCUCUGUAUAUGUAAUUCAUUUAUAUGUUGCAAUUUGUCCUUAUCUUCAUCCCAAUAGUGAAUACACUAUAUCAUAAUAGUUUUACCUACAAGAGAUACAUUGCUGGUCACUAAGUUGCUAACAUUUGCAUCUGGCUACUAUGUGCUGGACUGGCUCUUUGCACAGUCUGUACCUUGGGUCCACCCCCACUUUUAUUGAUCUGGUGCUGAGUGCCUGUUCCUGUGCCCAUAGGUUUAGUGCCUCAGUGCAGUUUUUCAGUCUUGCAUUAUCCAACUAUUGGCAUGAUUGAGCCCAAUGCCACACAUAUGGAUACAGGAAUGCUUAGUAUAUAGUGGUAUCUGCCGGUCGCACAACCCAUGGAGAGGCUGGUACCAUGGACAUUUUAUGUAUCCUCUAUCUGUUGUUGUCUCAGGUAUUCCGUUACCAGUUUAUCUUUUGGAGCCAUCUUUGUGAUGUACUUGUAGAUGCUCUGUGUUUCAUCAUCAGAACCUUCCUUUCGGCUGGUGUAAAGUCUCUGGGUGUUGGAUUUAAGGUUAACGCAUCCAUUCAUAGUGAGUAUUUUCUGGGUUUUGACAUGCAUGGACAGGCUAUUAUUCCAGCUGGAUACCUGGUGACUGAUACACCAUAUAUGUUAAUGAUUUGGCUCUUGUUCUUGACAUUAAGCUGGGAAUUUAGGAUCUGUCUUACUCUCUGUAGAAUCCCAUGUGACUGCUUGUUCUAGCAGUAGUUGGUAUGUUGUGAUCCUCUGGUAUUGUUUAUAAUCUCCUUUUAAGUAUUUCUCAUAAACUGACUCAUAUGCUCAUUGAUCUUGGAGGCUAUGAUGCUUGAUAGGACCUUCCAUGUUUUUGUUUUUUUUUGGUGGGGGCAGGUGAUUGAUUAGUAGUUAUAUGGUGUUGUUCCCUUGUGAGGUUUCUUCAUGAACAGUAUAGUUUGCCUUGUGUUAGCCAGUCAGAGUAUCUGGCUCAUUUGUGCAGCCAGCUAGCAUAGCUGGCAUUCAUACAGUGUUGUUAAAUAUUAUAUCCAUAGGUAUGGAUCAUAUCAUAAGUAGUUUUUUUGGAGGGUUAUAUAGAUUAGAGGUUAUUUCUGUUGCUUUGUAUGGUGCACCAUAACAUAUUGGUAAUAUUUCUCUCCCAUUAACACUGAACCUACAUUCACUUGUUCAAAAUUGAAGAUGACAUUACACGUUUGUAUGGCAGGACUAAAGAAAGAGAAUUUGAAAGGACCAGACCAGGAUUCAGGGCUAGAAUAUGCUACUGAUUUUUGAAAGCUGCACCACAAGCUAGGGAAGCCUCCUUAUCAUCCUUGAUUGGUGAAUUGGGAAAUGCUAAGAAAGAUACACCAAAUUACUGCCUUGUAGCUGAGAUUGGAGAUUUAGCGUUAGAACCUAAACCCAAAAUUGAUGACCAGAUGAGGGAGGAGGCGGAACCAGAGGAGUAGGAGAAACAGAAACAGUUCCAGGAUUUUACUAAAUCAUAAUGGAUUCAUGAUUUUCUUUAACACACUCCCAAAUAGCAGCAAACAUUUUUAACAUAACAUGAAUUUCAAUACAAAAAUAUUUAUGAAAAUACUAGUGAUAUCACACCCAUCACAUGUCACUGGUAAGAAAAAGGCUGAACAAACCUUCUGUAGUCCUCUUUCUUUGAUGCUGGAACCAAUUGAAAUCCAAACAUAACUGAAACAAAAAUCAACAUUGUCAAAUCCAAAUGCAGUAACAAAUGCUUUUUGUCCGCUUGGAAUGCCCAGGGGACAACACACAGUUCAUUGAUUGGCUGCAGGUUUAGGGGGGGCAGCACGCCACACAACCAGAACACAACGGACCACAGAGACCACUGUGGACACACAAUACAAUGAUGAGAUGCAGAUACCGAAAUGGGUCCACAAGGACCACACCCACCCAAUAGGAGGGUGGGCAGAUAACCUACCAACUAGAUGGAACAACCACUAGAACUUAGAUGCUUAGAUGGGGAGGGAGGUGGAGAAAGAGCAGGGGAGGCAACAGAGCUACAAGCAAGUCAGGACGUAGAGAUUAAACACCACGUACUGUGCAGUUACACCUGGGCCCCGACGUAUAGGGCCCCCCCGACAUGUAAGUUAAGGGAACACGGCUCCUCCAGGAUCACACUAGACUCACCAGGGAUGACAAUAUGCACAUACAUGAGGAACAAACAGGACCAAGAGGCAGGGAGACCUGGCAAUACACCCCCGAGGCCCCGAAGGCACCUACACACUCAGAGACAUACAAGCCCCGAGAUUACACUUGGCACAUACACUAAGGACCUACAACCAAUGCCUGACAGUCAGGGGAACACACACCGCAACCCAAGGGAGACCUACAACUCGCACACCUAAGCCGAACAGACCUUAAAACUACACACAGACCACACACACAAAAUGAAUCUCCCUGACACAAAUAAGGACACAGACAGGCCCUGGGUAAUUGAAAGCUCUAUUCCAGGCCCACGACCAACGGAGCCCGCGACAAAGAGCAGUCCUAUUCCCCGCUGCAUACACAGGGGGAAAAAACAGGGUUGAUCUCUGAGUAUGCAUCCAAAUAGUCACCACAUACAAAGAGACACCGAAGACAUGACUCUAGAUACCUUGAUAUGCAUGCACAAAUGUCAAGCAAUAACUGUCUGCACCCCCUGCCCCAUCGAUAUUAAACGAUACCUAGGACCUGCGAGGCCAAUUGGCACAUGUAUCCCUUACAGACACUCUCAAACGGACCUGUCAGGGUAAUGCUAGCACGAGUACCAAUAGAGGGUCAGAUCAGCAUGCCCAUACUCUGUAGUUUGCAAUGCCUGAAAAACAACAUGCGAGAGUAGAUGUAGAUAGACAUCAACCGCAGACAGAUAGGUCAUAUUGAAAGUGCCUCUCAUUUGUUAAAGGACCACUAUAGUGCCAGGAAAACAUACUCCCGUGGCGCUGAGGGGGGAGGAAGGGGUUAAACUUACCUCUUUCUCCAGCGCCGGGCAGGGAGCUCUCCUCCUCCUCUCCUCCUCGUCGGCUGAAUGCGCAUGCGCGGCAGGACCUGCGUGCACAUUCAGCCAGUCUCAUAGGAAAGCAUUUACAAUGCUUUCCUAUGGACGCUGGCGUCUUCUCACUGUGAUUUUCACAGUGAGAAGCACACAAGCGCCUCUAACGGCUGUCAAGAGACAGCCACUGGAGGCUGGAUUAACCCAUUUAUAUACAUAGCAGUUUCUCUGAAACUGCUAUGUUUAUAAAAAAAAAGGGUUAACCCUAGCUGGACCUGGCACCCAGACCACUUCAUUAAGCUGAAGUGGCCUGGGUGCCUAUAGUGGUCCUUUAGUGUGAAUCGAUGCUGCACAAAUUUGUUUCAUAUGUUGGGCGCUUAGUUUGCCUCGAGACCUGCGUGUCUCAUUCUCUAUUGUUAUAUCGGAGAUCUGCGUAUCUCGACCGAUCAAUCAUUAUGUUUUAAAUCUGAAACCUGCGCGUUUCUUUGCACUCUACUUUUUUGAAACCCUGAAAAAUUUCAAUAAAAAGAUAUUUACAAAAAAAAAUGUUUUUUGUCAUCUGGAGCAAAGUGAAGAAAACCAAAGAUAUACCCUCAUAAAAAAAUAUUCAGAAAAGAUGAUACAAUCAAUGAAAUACAAACUUCAAAGUUGAGCUGCAACAGAAACUAAACAAUGCAUUAUAUCUUGAAAUUACAUAUUCAGAAAUAUAAUGUAUAAUACAUAGGAAAUAUGAAGAUGUCAAUAUAAUAAAUUAUUCAUACAAAAAUAAAUUUGUCAAAGAAAUAAAGACCAUAUAUAAAUAAAUAAUAGUGAGAAUACAUUAUUUAUAAUAAAAGAGAAGGGUUAAUAUUUGCCUUUGUGUUAAUUAAUUCAUGACUUUCCAUCAUGACUUUGUAAAAUCCUGGAAGUUAAAAGCUUAGAUAUCACAGUGGUAGGUAGAUGUUAAAUUAAUUAAAAUAGUUAACCCUUGCGUAUCCAGAAUCUCACCUUAUUUUUCUAAAAAGUAUCCUAUUGCCUUACAGCCUUUAUGUUGAAUAUUAGUAUGUAGGCUGCUAACAUGGUAUAUUGACAUUGAAAAAACCUCCCUCCCAACAAAAACUUGUAAAGUUUGUAAUAAACUGAUAGUAUUUUUUAGAUACACCAGACAUUUUUUGACAAUGUACCAAUGUAUUGCGAUAGGGGUGAAAGAAGAGAACCAACCCCUGAUACAGUAGGUGGUACCAGUGGGCUCUCUUUGUCCUUAUUAAUCGUGUGUAAAAUAUAAACUUUUGGGUACUCUACAUUUAAAAAAAUAUAUUCUUUGUUAUUUAAAAUGCCUUUACUUGCCCCUUUGUCCAGACAUUCUUUAGAUUUUACCUUGAUAUCCUCCAAAUAAUUAUUACCCAGUUUUUAAUAUGGUCAGGUCCAUAAAUAUUGGGACAUCGACACAAUUCUAAUCUUUUUGGCUCUAUACACCACCGCAAUGGAUUUGAAAUGAAAUGAACAAAAUGUGCUUUAACUGCAGACUUUCAGCUUUAAUUUGAGGGUAUUUUCAUCCAAAUCAGGUGAGCGGUGUAGGAAUUACAACAGUUUGUAUAUGUGCCUCCCACUUUUCAAGGGACCAAAAGUAAUGGGACAAUUGGCUGCUCAGCUGUUCCAUGGCCAGGUGUGUGUUAUUCCCUCAUUAUCCCAUUUACAAGGAGCAGAUAAAAGGUCCAGAGUUCAUUUCAAGUGUGCUAUUUGCAUUUGGAAUCUGUUGCUGUCAACUCUCAAUAUGAGAUCCAAAGAGCUGUCACUAUCAGUGAAGCAAGCCAUCAUUAGGCUGAAAAAACAAAACAAACCCAUCAGAGAGAUAGCAAAAACAUCAGGUGUGGCCAAAUCAACUGUUUGGAACAUCCUUAAAAAGAAAGAACGCACCGGUGAGCUCAGCAACACCAAAAGACCCGGAAGACCACGGAAAACAACUGUGGUGGAUGACUGAAGAAUUCUUUCCCUGGUGAAGAAAACACCCUUCACAACAGUUGGCCAGAUCAAGAACACUCUCCAGGAGGUAGGUGUAUGUGUAUCAAAGUCAACAAUCAAGAGAAGACUUCACCAGAGUGAAUACAGA